UUUCCCACAUUUAACAAAAGGAAAACUAAAUUAACACCAAAUUGCCCAAAAUUAAACCAUAUAUUAUACUAAAUUAAUUCACAACAGUUCGACAUCAAUCAAAUAUUAUCUCGCACUCGAAUUCACAAAACUCACUUUCCGGGUACAAAGUUUGUAGCAUAUGACCAUGCAUUGUUUGCAACAGGGUCAGCAAGGUGGUCAGCGAGGUUCUCCAAUGGUCCCUUUCCGGUAACAAUGGCUUGAACAAAGAAUCCAAACAUAGAGAACAUGGCUAGUCUACCGUUCUUGAGCUCCUUCACUUUCAGCUCAGCAAAUGCCUCUGGGUCAUCAGCCAGACCCAAUGGGUCGAAGCUACCACCAGGGUAAAGUGGGUCAACUACCUCACCAAGAGGUCCACCAGCAAUUCUGUAACCUUCAACUGCACCCAUCAAGAUCACUUGGGUAGCCCAGAUGGCUAAAAUGCUUUGUGCAUGGAUCAAACUUGGGUUCCCCAAGUAGUCAAGACCACCCUCACUAAAGAUCUGGGAUCCAGCCUUGAACCAUACAGCCUCACCAAACUUGACACCAUUACGCGCCAAGAGUUCGGGGAAGACGCACCCAAGAGCUCCGAGCAUGGCCCAUCUGCUGUGGAUGACCUCAAGCUCACGGUUCUUGGCGAAUGUUUCAGGAUCAGCAGAGAGCCCAGCAGUGUCCCAACCGUAGUCACCGGGGAACUCACCGGUCAGGUAAGAUGGGGCUUCGCCGGAGAAUGGGCCAAGGUACUUAACACGGUCGGGGCCGUACCAUGGACUUCCUGAUGGUGCGACUUUCUUGACUGCUGUCUUCCUCAUGGAAACCCUUCCAUUUCCGGUGAUUUCUGAACCAGAUGGUGCUACUUUCACCGCCUGUCCGACGAAAGAAGAGGAUAGUGCCAUGGUGGAAGCUGCCAUUUUUGUGAGAUUUGUUUUGAAGAUGUUUUGAUGAUAUGAUAGUAUUAUGAGUGAUGAAGAUGUGUGGAUCUGGAACAUAGAUUUAUAGGGUGGUUUUUGGGCCAAGUAGUUGAUAAAUGUUUAUCUUGAUGCAAUUUUUAACUUCAUUUUGAUUGGCUACCAAGAUUUUAGUUCUAUCAGUGGGUCCAUAAUCUGCGUGGUUCCACUAUUCGAGUUCUCUGGCCCACAUGAGAUAUUUGAAGGGGCAGCGAUAUUCAUGGCUCUGUCUUAUUAAGCGAAUAUAAUGGCUAGAAAUCUCAGCCACUAGCUACCAUGCACAAACCGGUUUUUUUUUUGAACCGGACCGCUUCAAAAAUCCGGUUCGGUUCUAGUCAAUUUAGUCAAAACCAGUUUGGUUCCAAACCGGUCCAGCUUCAAAAUAAUUCAAACGUAUGUAAACUCGUUAAAGAAAAAACCGGUUCAAAAAGGGUUCAAAACCAGUUUGACGGAAAAAAGGUUUUUUUCAAUUUUUAUUUUGUUUUUAGGCUAAUAACUGAAAAAUAGGAAUUUUUUUUUAUAAUAUUGCUUUUAUUGUGUUUAAAAAAAAAGUUUCACACUAGGUUUUUUGAAAAUGGAAGUGGAAUGAAUUGGGAAUUCAUAAGCCUUUUUUUUGGUAAUACACACGUACACACGUCCAUAUGCCAAAAGGUUUUUAUUAUUAUUUUUUUUAUUUCUUGUUUAAUCUUUUGAUGUAUUAAAUUUUUUUUUUGUUUCAGAUUUGAUGUUUUAUCUUUUUUUUUUUCAUUUUUUUUGUUUUUUAUAUUGGAAAUACAUAAUACAACUUCAAACAUAAAAACACAAAACAUCCAAAUUGUCAAACUAAUACAUCUUCAAAUAUAAAACAUUGAUGUCGUCGUAGUCUUCAUUCCAAGUCCGUAGUCAUUGUAUUUAUUCGUCAUCCGCCAUGUCGUUGCGUAAUUCUCUCUCAUACUCGAUCUCUUCUAGGGUGAGUGACACCGACAUUCCCAUCGCUACUUCUUCCUCAUGUACUCGUGCUUCGACAUGCAACGAUGUGCCUUCUAGUGCUUCGAUGUCUUGUAUCCUUUCCACGCCAUCAAGGUAGUAUUUCAAGCAAAUGCACACUUCCACCGACAAAUGGGUUAGUUUUGUUCUUCUUGGUGAUAUUACCCUGCCACUAACAGAAAAACCGAUUCCGANUUACCCUGCCACUAACAGAAAAAGCCGAUUCCGAAGCUACCAUAGAAGCUUGGGAGCUUAGUAGAUCACGGGCCAUAGCGGCUAGAAUUGGAAAUUAGGUUUCCUUUCCUUUCCACCAAACCAAAAUAUCAAAAUUUUCAAACUCUUGAAUACUCAUUUCACUACUAGAAAAAUAGCCUUUUACGACGCGCGAACAACGACACGCGCUGUUUUAUGAUACACAAUAGUGUGUGCCCUAAAAAUAAUGUCGGCUCUCCAAAAAUUAGAAGGAUUUAGGGUACGCAUUUUUGCGCGCCCUAAAAUAAGUGUUACAUUAAAAAAAAACACGGAGGGCACAUAACAUAAAACGCGCGUCCACUAAGUAUGUCGCUUUAUAUUUUUUAAAUGAAAUGCGGGUCACAUUUUUUAGGGAAAACGAAAUUCCAAAAAGUUUGAAAGGCCCGCCAUGUUCCUACCUUCUUUCCACCGUUCUUCUCUCCCUUACUCAAAAUACCCAAAAAAAACCCUAAUAUACUCAUCGCUCCUCUUUUCUCCCAUAACAAACUCGCACCAUCACCAAAUCUCUGAUCUCCCACCAGCAAAAGGUCUCCUACCGAUGUCUCCACCUACUCUCUGCCCUCUCACUAUUUCUCUCAAUUAAAAACGCUAGAUCUCUCAAUCAGAGAACCAUGGCUACUUCUCCUUUCUCCCACACCAGUUGGCAAAAAGUGAGGAGUCUCGAGCCUAGCAGUUGAUAUUCACAUGCCCUCUUAAAUUGAAGGAAUCAGAACAUUGUCGACAUCAAUUCGUUAAUCAUCACUAGAGAAAUCAGAUACGCCAUCUGGUUGAUGAGUCAAGAGAAAUCACAUAUGUCAUCGCUUCAGCAAUCAUCCCUCCUUUUAACCGUAAGUUUUCAAUCUUACACUUUACAAAUAUCAUAUAAACAUCUCUCUCUCUCUCUCUCUCUCUCUUUCUCUCUCCUGCUAUACCUUGAUGAAUUAUCGCAUACAUAUGGAGGAACUGCUUUCUAAAAGCCAGCUAUCGGGAGAGUCAACAGGGUCAAUUGGGUGUUCAAAAGGUGCUUCGAUAUCAUCUUCCCGCCAGCAAAUCUCUGUUAAAGUUGUCACAGAGUAAUCCAUUUGAGUUUGGGCAUAUAUUUUUUGUUAUUAAUUUAGGGGGAGACUGUGUUCCAUGAUUUUGGUCAUGCAUUUCUUCAGCACACGCUAACAAGACAAGAUGAAGGGCUUGUUGUUGGUAUUCGUGGCAUAGAGUGGAUGCUGUUGAGUUACCUUUCCAGUUCAUGGAAAAUUGGUGCUACCGUAGGUAGGUAUAUAUAUCUCCAAUUUCAAGAUGUUGUUCAACUGCUGCAGGAACGAGGUGAGGGUGGCUGAUGAGAAUUUGUGACAGGAACUAUCCGAUUGGGGAUUCCAGCUCAAGUGGGGCAGUUGGCGCAUCAGAUCCAGCAGAAUCAGAAGAUAAUGAGGCCUUUAUUGCAAUUCUCUUCUUUUGAAUAUGAAAAGAUGCACUUUUCAGUCCUAAUCUGGGAUGUGAAAAUGAAAGGAACCCCUGUUUAGCCAACAAAACAAAGUAAAAUUCAGUUACAACACUUACCCAAAUAUAGCAUUCUACCUUUAAUUUUUCUCAUCAAGACAAAAUUGAAUCAGUUAUGAAACCGACCACAUAAAAGGCUGUUUUUCUAGAGUUGCAAUGUUAGGAAUAAAAGUCACAAUGGUAUGUGGUCGGUUUCAUAACUGAUUCAAUUUUGAUGAGUAAACAGGUUAGAUUUCAUAUGGUUGUUUGUUCAGAUUGGUAUUCAUCCUGAUUUUCCUUCAAUUAUGCAACAACUAUGCUGGAAUUUGCUAUGUUCCAUACUCGGAUUUUGAAUUUAUCGGAAAAUUGAAUAAUUAAUCUGGAAAAAUACCAUCUUUGAAUGAUUUUUUUGUCAUCUGUAGAUAAGGAAUACCAUCUUUGGGUAAUUAGUUUAUCUAGUCUACAUGAUUAAAUUAAUGGACAUAUAAUUCUCUAUUGAUAGAACAAAAAACAUUGCUUUGUAGUGAAGAUAAGGAAUACCAUAUUUGGGUAAUUAGUUUAUCCAUACUCGGAUUAUGAAUUUAGCCCACCAUCAGCAGGGGAUUGCUGAGUUUUAUGUGACCAUAAUGCCCUUUCGGUUUGUAGUGAAGAUCCAAGCAUGUAAUUAAUAACACCUCUAAUUAAUUAAUUAAUUAAUCCCCUAAAACUAACUAUGGUUAAAUUAAACUGGUGGUAGGUGCCAGUGUACAUAGGGGCACAUAUGGUCAAAUAUGUUUUAAUUAUUAGUCUAAUAUCUUUUGAUACUUAUCAAUAACAACAAAAUAAUGUAAAAUCGUGUGAAUACAAUUCAAGGGUAUAAUGGUCUAGACAGAGAUUAUUUUUAUUAAAGAUAUUUAUUUAUUAAUCAUCAGAGAAGAAGGAAUUAAUAUGAAAGAAUCACUUACUGCAAAAUAAUCUUCAAAUGUAAAAUCAACAUAGCCUAAGCCCUGAUUUUUAUUUCACCACAGGUUGGCGAGCUGGCGGGAAUAGCUUUGGGAGCAACUGUCAUGCUUAAUAUUCUUAUAGUUGUGUACGUUAUGGUCAAAAUAGUUCAGCAAGAACCUCUGUUGAAAUGAUAUAGGCCACUAAUUAUUUAAAACUAUCACUGGCUCCUCAUUAUGGUCAAAAUAGUUGGUCUGUUAAAAAUUGUGACUAUGAGCAAUUUGCCACUUCUAAAUGGGUUCUUUGUAGUUUUCCUUUCUAUAAUUCAGGAAAUAGGAUCAUAUUUUACUCUUGCAGAAAUAGUUAUGGUCUGUGAGCAUUCUUCCAGAUUGUAAGAACGUAAUUUUCAACACAACAAAGGUGAAAUUAUAUCUAUGUUUUCUUGUGUAUUUAACUUCACAGGAGCUGAAACAUGAUCUAAUUUUUUUUAUCUAUUGGUUAUGUUGAAUAUGGAUAAAAGGUUGUGGCUCAGAAAAGUGUUGGUGAUGCUUCUACAUUUGUUGAGAGUGAAUUUUCACUGUCAAAUUCAAGUUGGAUUUGGUAUGUAGAAAAAGUGUGUGUUUAGAGUAAGGACUUUUUCCUUGUUGGACUGUAAUAGUAGACCAAUAUGAUUCGUUUUAUAAAACCCUUAGACAGAUCACAGUUGGUUCUGCAAUUGCAUGGUCAGGUAAACAUUCUAAACACAUUUUCAAUUUAUUUUGUGAUAUUUAAUUUCUCCCAUAUUCUUUUAAAUUAUAUUAUAAUAUGCUUAUAAACACUACUUUCCUUUCAUGUAGCCAAAAAAUUGUCCCAAAGUUGACUGAGGUACUUUGGACAAAAAUACAAUGUUAGCUUACAUCUUUAUUAGUUAAUAUAAUCAAAUUUCUAAUUUUAGGUGCUAACUGAUACGCGUCCGCAAGUUCAGUCUGCAUGGCAGACAACACUCCAGCAGGUUUGACUAUAUUCUUAUGGGUUGUGGCAUUCACAUUCCCAUAGUGAUCUUGAUAAAGUUGCUUCUAUUUCCAUGCUAAGUUGGCUUUUAUUUGUAAUAUAGGAGGUCCAAAAUCUUGCAAAGAAGGCUGCAGAAACUGUGGUGUUGGUAAUUGAUGAUGAAGGGACUGAGUAUUUGAUAUCAGAACUUCUCAAGUUGCUUCUAUUUCCAUGCUAAGUUGGAUUUUAUUUAUCUUACUGUUUAUUAUCAUUUUUUAUAUAAAAUUUCAUCAUUUAUAUUAUAUAUAUAGUACAUUAUAGACUUUGCAUCAUAAUUUGUUGAAUGUUACAAGAUAUAAUUCAAAAUUCAAUUUCCUCAUGUUGUUGCUGAAAUGACAGCAAUUGGUUUUGGCCUACCAAAGAAUGCAUUCACCGCUUUAAUGAAGAAUGUAAGUGUUUAUUUUUCUUUUCUGUUUGGUGAAAAUCAUCAAAUGACAAUCUCAUUAUAUAUCUUAGGAUCUUAUCAGUUAAUAAACUUGAUCGUGGGUAUGAUCAAGCAUAGGUUUACAUUUAUACCCCUGCUUUUAUCUUUUAUCUUUUAUGUUAUAUAAUUAUAUUCCCCCUUUUUUUAUCAGGUUAAUUUGGUGGUUAAUUAUGAUCUUCCUAUAAGACAUGAUCAUCAAUCUCACUACAAGAAAAAUACCCUUUUACGACGCGCAAAACACGACGCUCUUUGAUUUAUGUUACGCAUUAGAGAGCGACAUUAAAAAAGUGUCAUCUCUUAAAAAAUUUUAAGGAUUUAGGUCGCGCAUUACUGAGUGCCCUUAAAUUAGUGUCUCAUGUAAAAAUAUUAAAAACACGGAAGGCACUUGUGCGUCGUCUGUGAAUGUCGUUUUAUAUUUUUUUUUAAGAAACACGCGUCUCGGAGGGAAAAUGAAAUCCCCAAAUUUUUUAAACCCCCACCUUUUUCUCCCUCGUCUCCACCCCUCAUCCACAUCCACUACCUCCGAUCCUCAUUUCCUCUUCUAGCCUCAAACUACGGCGAUGCACCUUCCUUCUCGAAGAAUGCUUCAUUUACCACCAUCGUCCGAUUAUGUGAGCCCAAGGAAUUGACCAAGACGAAGAAGAUAAUGGAUCAAUUGCUUCACAUCAUGUUUAAGGUUAAGGGUUUGAGUUAGUCCGCAACAGGUAAUCGAAUUUUGCCUAAUAUAUAUUUCUACUCUCAAACUGUUUAUUCGUCCGAUUGGAUGCAUAUUUACUAUUAAAUUUGGGGAUUUUCUUUUAAAACCCCCGCGCCUCUUCUUGUUUGUAGCUAAACAACCGUGAAUUUGUUAGAGUGAUUGGAAGAGGAAAAAUAGAAGAUAGAAGAAAAAGAAGAAGAAGAAAAGCGAACAAACGGGAUUUCUUGACCUGAUGUGUUAAUCCGUGAUCAGGUCUUCUGAGCGAAGAGAAGAUCUGAGGCUCAAUUGAAGAAAUAUGAGCGCUUCUAGAUUUAUAAAGUGCAUCACAGUCGGUGAUGGCGCUGUCGGGAAGACUUGUCUCUUGAUUUCCUACACCCGUAACACCUUCCCCACGGUAAUCAUCUCUUCAUCAACCGCCUUCAGUUUCUGCCCAACUAAAGCACGGUUACACACUUAUUUCUCUUCGGACGUUUCUGUGGCUUCCAUGGGAACGGAGGAGGAUGAUAUAAAUGAGGCAACAACUUCAUUCGCUACAUGUUUGAACCUUAAAUUGAAGGGAUUAUAUAUUGAAAUUUGAAUCUACAACUUCGAAUUUCAGUCAUCUCUCUUCUCUUCUACAUCUCACCUGAUUCUCUAUUGAAAUUUCUAGGGUUUUUAAUUGAACCUACAUCUUCAUCUUAAUCUUCUUUUCUGAAGUUAGGGCUUUUUUCUUAAGAACAACUAAUUUUUUGCAGUAAGUAAACCUCUAAUUUUUUCAUUUCUCAUUUCCUUAGACCUCUCCCCUUUCCAUCUCAUAUCGAGGCAAAAUCAAUUUCACUUUGGUGGCUUCGAUUUCCUAGCACAUAUUAUGUUAUUAUAUGGAUUUGUAGGAAAUUAGAAAUCAUGUUAGAAUGUUUGAUGUUCUGUAUGUUCAUAAAAGUACAUCUAAAACAAAAAUCUUAGAUUAAACAAAACUGAAGCAUUUAAUGAGAUGUAAUUACUAACUUUUGUUGGAGAUGCAAAUGCUAAAUAAAGAAAACUGAAGCAUUAAAUGAGAACCUUUAUAAUUCGAUUUCAUUCAGAUCUUCGGUGGAUAUUUAGGGCUAACAAAGAAAACUGAAGCAUUUAAUGAGAUGUAAUUACUAACUUUCGUUCAAGGUAACCCCUGUUAUGAAUACAUGUAAGAAUUUAUUUAUCUUUUUCUCUCACCACUUGCUAUCCAUGUGCUGCUCUCUCAUAGUUGAUAUCUAACAACAAAGACCUGAUCAGUCUAGUUUGCUUGUUUUUUUUCUUUUUCUUAUAAUUCUUGAAUACGUGCAGAUUUUUUAAGACUUCUAGUUUUGUUUUUUGUUCAGUGAUAUUGAUGAUGAGGCAAGUUUAUCAACACUAUGGGAGAGAUAUCAAAGUGUCUCUGAAAAGGUAUUGCGAUAUCAAAGCAUAAAUUAUUUAUGGAUUAAAAUGGGAAAAUGACUUAUAUGGGUAAGAAAGUUUUAAAAACUUUUAAAAAUGACUAUCAAAGUAUUGUUUGUAUAAAAAACACCAACCAAGUUUACCAUUUUGUCAAAUCUAACAGGUUGGUAACCUGCAUCUGCCGGUCAAAAAAAAUUACCUGAUCAUUUUAAAAACUGAAAUUAUAAAUGACAUGGCAUCCUUUUUUAGUCUUACGUGGAUUAAUUGCAAGGGAAGAUCCAUUUUCUCAGCGUUCUUUCUCAAAAUCAGGAGGGAGUCAACACAGAACCCUCUCUAGGGUUAGUUUCUGCCCCUGUAUACAGUUAUUUUUGUUUAAAUUGACUGAUUUUAACAGUUGACGAAUAUGCUCCUGCUUUGGGCUAAUCACACAUAUGUCUUUUUUAUGACCAAAUUGCCCCUGUAUAUAGUUUUUUUUUGUUACAAUUGACUGAUUUUACCAGUCAAUUAAGGUGUUGUUUAGAAACUGUUAGUAUCCAAGACCAUUUACAUGCUCGUGCACAAAGACGAAUUUGCCCUUGAUUGUGACCAAACUGCCCCUGUAUACAUAUUUUUUAUUACUAAAAACACCCCCUGUCCUAGAAAAAUAUGACACUUCUAUACAAAAGCUAAUACCAAUUUCUCACUACAAAUCAACUAAUAAGAAAAGAAGUGGGCAACUCUCUAAAAUGACCAAAAUUUGAAUUGCAGUGUCACAAAUUGACAAUUUUUUAAAGCUAUAAUGAAAUAAUGCUUUGUUUUGUAAAAUAUACAAAAUCCGUUUGUUGUUGUGUGCAACUAAUCCACAAACAUUUACAUAAUUCUCGUUAGUGUACUUUGCAAAGUGGUGCUGAAGUAAUUUGGGCAACAAAAGUACAUAUAACUAUAUUAAUAUUCUCUAAAUAAUCAUAUAUAAUGAAAUAAUGGUUUGUUUUGUAAAAUAUACAACCCAUACUGUAUUUUUGAUAAAAAAAAAUAAUGAUUUUAAGAGAUUUUGUCCGAAAUACCCUUAUAUACUCUUUUUUUUGGUAAAAAAUUAAUGAUGUAAUAGUUUUUGACUAAAAUGCCCGUAUAUACUAUUUAACAGGUUUGACCCCAUCUGAAUUAUGAUUCAGCUUAAAAUUGAAUGCCAUUUUGACAAUUUUAUUGCUUUUAAGACUAUUUACUGCUGAAAAUAUGUCAAAUUUGUUACAUUUUGCUGCUAUAAAUAGUCAAAAAAUAACUAAAAGUCUACAAAGAUUCAAGGUAACAGUAAAUAAUACUGGCAUUUCCAGCAGCAAAUCUUCAAUUGCAGGGACUAAACUUUGUCAUUUUUAGCAGAAAACUUUAUCAACCAACAAAAAGAGGUUAAUAAAGAAUCUAAAUGGCAUUCCAUUGUAACAGCAUCAAAACACGACCUGCACUCAAAACCCUCCAAAAUAGCCCCUACACUCAAUUGUAACAGCCCCUCUGUUGUGAUUCCUUUAACUGUGACCAAAUUGCCCCUCUAUUGUGAUUCCUUUAGAUUCAAGGUAACAUUGUUUUAAGUGAAAAGAUCAUUUCAUAACUUGUUUACAUAAAUUCUUUCUUAGCUUGUUUACAUAAAUUCUUUUUCUGUCAAUUCCUUUCAAGACAAAAAGAAAGAAAGCAGGAACUUAUAGCCAUGCAAGUAAUUUCAUUAUUUUUCUCAUUAACGAUUGUACUUCCUUUGCUCUUUCUUGCAUAAUAAUAAACAGAUUUAAAGAGGAGUGGAGCCAUAUGACCACCUGAUGCCCCCAAAUCAAUUUAUUUGAGCUAGAUUUGAACGAUUUACAAGGAGAAGAAGAAAAUCAAUUGUCAAGAGGAGAGGAGAUGUAUGACCACCCACCUGAUGCCCUAAAUCGAUUUAUAAUAUGUAUUUUUCAUUUAAUGCUGAGUAGAUGUGCAACACACUACCUAAAUAUGCCAACUAAUCAUUACUUUUGCCAACUCAGCCGUUCACCUGGAGAUCCGGUUACCACCGGGUCAUAUUUGAACAAAAGAUAAACUUCGUUGGUAUUUUUUGUACGACGCCUAUAGUUAAAUGGUAUUUUUGAACAACUAAAACUUCAAUGGUUUUUUUUGAAUGUUUUUGAAACUUUCUUACCCUUAUAAGUCAUUUUCUCGAUUAAAAUUGAACUUUUUUCAUACAUUACCUAACAUUGACUUGUCUUAAUUUGCAGGCAGAAAUACAAAAGGCUUUUCAUAUAUUUCUUAAACAAUUUUUUGUAAUAUACAAGAAUUGGGAGCCAUUAGAUUUAGAUAAUUCCAUAGAACCUUUCAUUGAUUCAAGGGAUCCUCUUUCUGAAAAAAAGAUUGCAGUGGCAUCAGAAGGCAGUCAUAUCAGUGAUGGAAGCUGGUGGUCUUAAUUGGUUAGUAGGUAAGGUAUGCAUCUUCAGAUUUAAUUUCUAUUGAGAACUAAACACAUUUGAAUAUCUGAGAACUAAACACACUUGAAUAUUUAUAAAUGAUGCACACAUCCAAAGGGAUAAUAGCAAUGUUUCUAAUGGCGUCAAAUAGACCUGAUUGUGACCACUAAUGGUUCAUCAGGUUUGUUGAUUUUUAUUUUAUUUUAUUUGAAGUGCAUUAUCUGGUUUAAUAUGAAAUGAUUCAUGUUGAAAUUGGUUUCUUUUGUUACUCCAUAAUACUUGAUAUCUUAUUUUUUGCAUGCAGGUGCUAACAAAUAUGGUGUCAUUAUCAUUGUUGUUGUUGUUGUUGGAUACGGAUAUGUUUGGUGGAAGGUAAAUAUAAGCUCAUAUAUUAAUAUUAUUACUUUUUACAGUUAACUUGUACAUAGUUUUUCUUCAACUAACAGAAAUGGUAUCAUUAACAGGGUUGGAAACUUCCUGAUAUGAUGUUUGCUACAAAAUGAAGUUUAUCUGAUGCCACAUAUGCUUUAGCUAAAUAGAUUGACACUGUUUACUCAUCACUUGCAGUAAGUUAUUUAAAAACUUUGUUAUUUUUUUGUUAUUAAUUUGGGUUGUUUAUUAUGUUGUUUAGGCUACCAAGAGACAUUUAUCUACAAGGAUUGACCGUGUUGAUAGUAGUUUAGAUGAGGUUGCAGAAAUUACUGCUGCUAAAAAAGAGGAGGUAUGACAAGAUAAAGGUUGUUCUAGAUGUUUAAUCUAUACAUAAUGCGGUUUACACCCUGGUGUGGUUCUUUUCCAUUUUGUCUUGUGACUUUGAUAUUGUUUUCUGAGUUGGAUAUGUGGUAUGAUAAAUUAUUUUUACAUGAGAGUAGGCUGAGUAGGGUUGAAUUGAAAUAGGUACUGAAUAUUACCGUUUGACAUGCGAUUUUUUCUAGCUUAAUGAGAUAUUUAUAACAAAUAAUUUUGAAUUUUUGUUGUCUUUUGUAGGGAAAUCCAUCAAGUUCAUCAAGGCCAGCUCUUGAAUUACCAUAGAGAGUAAACUUCUAAUCUUAUACAAAUACAAUGAUUUGCUAAAUUCAAGAAAUAACAAUGCACUUUUAUUUAUUACUUUUAUUAAAACAUCCUAGUUUAAUUUCUAGCUUAAUGAGACAUUUAUUACUUUUAGCAGAGAUCGAUAUAUAUAUGAGCUUUUUGCUUUCAAACAUUGUUGGGGAAGAAUGUUGAAACUUGCUCUUUGUGAAGGUAAUUUUUUUUCUUAAUGCAUUAUCCUCUAUAUUCUUGAUAUUUUUCCCACUUUUUAAAUCUUUUAUCAAAUUCUCACUUUUGGAUACAGUGCUUGAUGAGAGAAUGUGUGACCUAAAUCUUUUAUCAAAUUCUCACUUUUGGAGUUGGCCAUAAGAAAAUGUAGGCAAAGGGUAAUUUGUUAUAGUUCAGGUUGACAAGGUGCUGUAUUUUUCACAUAAUUGACAAGGAGCUGUUGUAUCUAUUCAGACUAGACUUAGAGCAAUGGUUGCAAGAGAUGAGUUCAGCAGAAAAAGAAACAAGGCUGCAACUAUAGUUAAGGUACUAUGGAUGAAUUAUGUUUGUAAAGUAUUUAAGAAAAUGAUUAUAAACAAGGGUGAAUUUGUACAAAUUAGUUAGCUACUUGCANUGAGUAUUUGAUAUCAAAACUUCUCAAGUUGCUUCUAUUUCCAUGCUAAGUUGGCUUUUAUUUAUCUUACUGUUUAUUAUCAUUUUUUAUAUAAAACUUCAUCAUUUAUAUUAUAUAUAAUACAUUAUAGACUUUGCAUCAUAAUUUGUUCAAUGUUACAGGAUACAAUUCAAAAUUCAAUUUCCUCAUGUUGUUGCUGAAAUGACAGCAAUUGGUUUUGGCCUACCAAAGAAUGCAUUCACCGCUCUAAUGAAGAAUGUAAGUGUUUAUUUUUCUUUUCUGUUUGGUGAAAAUCAUCAAAUGAAAAUCUCAUUAUAUAUCUUAGGAUCUUAUCAGUUAAUGAACUUGAUCGUGGGUAUGAUCAAGCAUAGAUUUACAUUUCUACCCCUGUUUUUAUCUUUUAUCUUUUGUGUCAUAUAAUUAUAUUUCCCUUUUUUUAUCAGGUUAAUUUGGUGGUUAAUUAUGAUCUUCCUAUAAGACAUGAUCAUCAAUCUCAACCUGACCAUGAAGUGUAGUUGCACUGAAUCGGAAGAGCAGGGUGAUUAUGGGAGAUGUUAAGUAGUUAUAGGGCUUUAGAUGCUUUCCCUUUGGGUAGGAAAUGUUUUUAAGACAUGAUCAUCAUUCUCUACCCCUGCUUUCCCUCUGGUGUUUAUCUCCCAUAAAACCCUAAAAUGUGGAUGUGCUAAAACUGAAGAAAUUAGAAGACACAUACUGGAUUUUAGCAAGUCGGGUAAGUUUAAAAAUAUCUUAAUACGAUAUUGAUUAGAUUACACAACAUGUAAUGUAGAAAAUAUCAUGAAUAUUUAUGAUCAAUAUUCAACUUUUGAAAAUGUAUCCAGUUUGAUGUUUAUCUAUUUGACAUUUUUUUGAUAGAAAAUGAGAAUACCGGAGAAGAUGAACCACAAAUUUACAUUGAAAUGAUCAAUGGAAUUAUCAAAUCCCUUCAGGUAUCAUCUCAUAUCACUUGCUUAUGAAAUUUAUUCAUCUAUACUUGAAAAGAUAUAUUUAUUUUUGUGUUGUUUCCAGGCUAUCCUUGAUGCAGUUCUCAGCACAACAAUUAUGAUUUUAUGAUGUUAGGCUAAACUAUAAAGCAAUCAUUCUUUGUUUUAGGAAACGUUUCAGAGCUUCUUUAGGCAGCUUAAUGAUGAGUUAUUGAAACAAAAUGGUGCCCCUUUAUAGCAAUGUAGUAUUAGGUUAUAUAGAUAGGAAAAACCUCUUAAUAACAACGUACAAUUAGAUCCCCUUAAUAUCAAUGUAUUACAAUUUUAUGACAUGAUGUUAUUGAAUGAAAUUGAUUGUGUAAUGGAUUGUAUUUUUUGUAUAUGGUAUUUUAUUUUCUAUUAUGAGACAUGAAAUGCAAAUUUAAUUUGAAAAUUAGUAAAUCUAUAAAUAAUUUUUAAAAAAAAUAAAAUAAAAAUUAUGAUACGCAAAAAUGUGUGUCAUCUUCAUUUAUGACAUGGCCUUUCUUGACAGUGGCUUUAAUGAUACGCAUUGCGUGUCAUAAAUACGUGUCGUCUAUAGACGACGCGCAAAAGCGCGUCGUCUCUCGUUAUGACAGGGCCUUCCUUGACGCGCAUGCGCGUCGUCUGACCGUUUUACGACUCGCAAUGAGCGUCGUAAAAGGCAUUUUUUCUAGUAGUGUUUGAGACAAGAAAUCAGAACCAAUGUACCUUCCGAGCUCGCUACUUGGCGCGUUAGACCGAGCUCGUUUGGAAUUUUCAUUCCUCAAAGUAUUAUAAAGCCUAAUUGUUUCGUUAUUUUAGUGAAAAGUGGAUCCGGGUGCCCCCAUAUUUUGCAUCACGUCAUGAAUGUUUGUUGAACCAUAUUUUGUUAAAUAAACUUCAAAUAAAUUUUGAAAAACUUUGUUAAAUUUUGAAACUUCCUUUGAUGCAUAAUCAAUGUCAUCAUCCAAUAAACCCAAAUCGUAACAAAUAUUUUCAAUUAAAGUCUCAACCCCCCCAACAUUUAGAGUUGGAUUCAAAGUGGCGGAACAAGUAAUAAUGGGAGCCAUUUCUUGAAAAUAUUUUUUUAACUUUGCUUUCAUCGGUUUCAUCAUAUUAGCAAACAUUGUGCUCCUCAUUUCAAACUCAUUUAUUUUCGCACACAUUAAAAAAAUUUGGUUUAAAACUAAACAACUUGUAGGAUAAUAAACCCCCGAUAAAAAAGUGGUUGUUUUUUUUUUAAAAAAACAUCAAGCAUGUCUGUAACAAGUUUGAUAGUAUCCCAACUUGAUUCCGGAUAAGCCGUAACCUUAUUACGGUCCGAAGGUUGUCAUGUAACAUUUUUAAAGUAUGUUUUUGACGUAAGGCACAUUCAAAAAUUUUGCAAGUGGAGUCCCAUCGGGUAUUAUUUUCCCAAUUCAGACCUAAAAAGAGGGCAUUCGCAUCGACACAAAAUUGCAUAUAAUUAUGAUAUCGAGCGUUACUAGAACUAAAAAUAUCUUUUAGCAUGUCUUUGAAACCAUCUUUUAUAGUUUCAAUGUGAGUUAGUCCAUCUUGCACAACCAAAUUAAUCAUAUGUGCAACACAUCGACUAUGAAAAAUAAACACCAUCACAAAUUGGUUUAUAUUUUAGUUUUAGUUGUCCAACCGCGACGGUGUUGUUUGAAGCAUUAUCAAAAGAUAUAGAAAAAAUCUUUCCUUCAAGUUUAUAAGUUUUGAUCACACAAUCUAAAAUUUUAAAUAAAUUUCUAUCGGUGUGCGGGUACUCAAACAAUUCAAACGUAAUCGUAUGCUUUAUCAUUACCCAAUUAGUUGGAUUAAUCCAAUGAGCGGUAACACAAAGGUACGCAUCCGGUGAACCGUCAGGAGCCGUCCAAACAUCACAAGUUAAAUUCACACCGGUUUCUAAAGAUUGAAAUCCUAAAAUCAAUUCAUUUUUUGCAAGUUUCCACAUUUCAAUACAAUCGCGUCUAAUAGAAGUACGACUCACAUGGCAAUAUCGUGGUUGGAGAGUAUCUUGGAUGAGUGAAGUCAAUCGUUUGUUGUCGAAGUGGUCAAAAGGCAAGCAUUCUUGAAUCACGAACUUCGUCAUCCUAUCCCGAACUUUAGCCAUAUCGUAACUCCACAAUGUUGCAUCAUUCGUCAUUCUUGUUUGAAUAUGUCCCGACCCAAAUUUCACCGUGGGGCAUCUUUUGGUCAUAUGAUUUUUCAAUGUCGAAUUCUCAUCUUCAUUAAAAAAAGCACCACAUUUCUUGCAUUGCGCUUUUUUAUACCGUUCGACAUUACACACAAAUCGUAGUUGCACAAAAUAGCCGGAUUUCUAUUUGUUUCUUUGAUGCUAACAACGGUAAGAGUGUUUGAUGAAUCUCGAACACCAACGGAAGCCGAAUCCAUUGUUUGAAUUAAGAGUGGUUUUUGAACUAAGAGAGGUUUGCGGUUUUUGAACUAAGAGAGGUUUUUUGAGGUUUGGUUAAGGUAAAGUUGAGACCUAAAAAUGUAAUACAUAUAUAUAUACUAUAAGGAAUAGUUAAUAUGGUAAAAAAGAAGCAAAAAUCGAGUCUUGAACAGCCUCAAACGACUAUAUAGCCGUUAGGAAAAGACAAAAAAACGGUAACAUUACAAAAACCGGUUCACCAACGGCACUUUCGAAAUCUGGUUCAAAACUGGUUCAUCACACCUGUUCAGAAUAAACCAGUUCCAAACCGGUCUCCAGGGUAAAACAUGCGAACUGGUAACAUCCGAUGGUUCGGUUCACUAUGGGUUCGGUUCUUAUGUGAACCGGUUCAAGGCUAAACCGGUUUCCGGUUCACCAACCGGUUCGGUUCCUAAACCAGUUUUUUUGCCCACGCCUACCACUAGCUAGUCUAGGUGGGCUUUUAGUACGGGGGUUUUCAUGAGGAAUAGGUUGAAAGGAGUGUUGGCAUCUCACUGCCGUCAUCUGUUACCAUUUCAUAAGGAGUGGUAGCAUUCCUAGCACAUUAGAUUUUUUUUUUUUGAUUUUUUUUUUUGAACUUAAAUAAAUUAUAUUUUUAUAAAACACAAACAAUUCAAUAUUAAUCAAGAAACUAACUACAUUUUAUAGAUAAAUUUACCUUAUUUAAACAAGGAUUAAUAGAAAGGUCAAAUAAAAUUUAAAUGGUUAACGACAUGCUUAAAAUUUUACAAAUAUAUUGAUUUUGUAACGACACAAUUUUCUACUCUAUCAAGGUAAAGAAACAUUUAUGUUAAUAAUAAAGUGACACUUUAAUAUAUAUCUUCAAAUAAUUAUUAAAAAUAAAUAAUACUAUAAAAAAUUACCAAUACUAUCUAGAAACAAAAACCACUCACAGCACGGAAUUUACAAAACAACCAUCCAACUUCCUUAUUUUUUUGAAAGAGCUUUUACGAUCUCCAUUUCCAUUUCCUUUUUUUCUUAAAAUUACAUCUUACAUCUUCCAAUUUGCUAUUAUCAUUUCUUAAGUUUGUGAAAGUAGACUAUUCCACAAAACUACUCCUCCAAUUGUGUGAAACACGAAGCAAAAGCGAGACCUUUGAGCUUUUUCUUAAAAAAUAAUCCUUGUUUGAGAUGGAGACCACACCAUUGAUGGGAGAAAUGAAGGUUCUAGAGAACGAUUGUAAGAGGAAGAUUAUUGUAUCCACAGGCCAAUAUCCAACAAAUCUCUUUCUCUUUCUUCUCGCUAUGGUGUUGACGAGCCAUGGCUGGCGACUUCCUUGGCGCAAGCCAGGGGGCGGCCUUCAGCGCCCUUGGCGACCGGUGGCGACCUCCAUAGCGAGGCCCACUCCCUAAAGCCUUAUAACACACCAUUUAUUGACCAAGUUUACCCAACAAUGCAUCCCAAUUCAUUAGAUUUGUCUUAUCAUUAUACUUUUUAUACAAUUUCAUCAUUUUUCUAUAAUAUAUUAAAACUCUAUGAAAAUUCAAAAGAAUAUACUUUUGAAUUUUCAUAGAAUUUUAUUAUAUUAUAGAAAUAUGGUGAGAAUCCUAGAUGCUUUUAUCUCUCUUUCAGACUUAAAAGCCAGUAUGCGUUCAAUAAGUACGUGGCCAACUCCGGACCUAGCUUUUGCGAACGUGGGACGUUCACUUCGGAUAGCCUCGAAAUGAGUACCUCUUACUUUAAAAAUUUAUAACUUUGGCAUACGAGCUCCGUUUUCGACAUUCACUUUCAUUUAGACUCUGUUUGCUAAUUUUGAUUUUUAUUUUUAAAUUUAUAUUUUUUAACAGGCCGGGACUGGAAAAGCCCGUUAAAAAUUCAUAACUUCUUCAUCCGACGUUCGUUUUCGUAUGACUUUUUACCAUUAAACUACUAUCGACGAGAUUUUUGAUUCUCAUUUACAUUGUGUUGGAUAAAAAUCGCUCGAUCUAUACUUCGAACUACGGGCUGCACAAUGUUAUGCCAAAUCUUAGAAAAUUCAUAACUUCCUCAUACGAAGCUAGAUUUGGAUUUCUUUUUUAUGCACGCUCUUGGUUUAACGUAUACUACGAUUUUCAUUUAGAUUGCUAAGGCUAAAAAACACUUUAUCGUAAACUCACUUUUCACGUCACACAAUGUCAUGUCAGUUUUGUCGCGAAACUUCGAUAUGUCAUAAAUUCUUCGUGAUCAGGGCCGAUCUUGAAAAAUGAAAUAUUCUUGGAGCCCCAGGACGAGCAAGAAAAAAAUGGCCCUUAUCUUUAUUAUAAUUUUGUAAUUUUAAAUAAAAAUAUAUAAUGAAAAAAAUUAGGCCAUGUGCAGCUGCCCACUUUGCCUCCUUCUAAGCCCCCAUUGUUCAUGAUAACUCGGAUUUCAGCGUUCUUUAUAUUUCUGGAGUCCUUGUCACGACCACUACAACUUUCUUCAUAGAUAUCGGGUUUAUAUAACAUUUUAUUUUUGACGCUUAUUUUUAUUCUUAAUUAAUUAUAUCAUUAUAAACAAGUAUAUAAUCACAUAAAAUCACGUAAUUCACAUAAUACUCAAGUAAUUCAUCUUUAUUACAUUAAAAUAGGUUACAAUGGUUGACCUUGACUAUUACAUCAUCAUACUAAUGUGAAACAACCUAAAAUACGACCCAAUUUUUUUUUUGUUAAAAUAAUACUAAAGAUAUCAACCAUCAUAAUAUAUCAUGAAAUCGUACGUCAUAAAUCCCCAAAAAGUUAUAAUAGAUAUGUCAUGACAAAAGAGUUGUAUCAACAUACCAUAGUAUCUAAAAUAAACUCCCAGGACAAAAGUUGAAACUGUGGUGUGUGCAAUGUCAUCAUCCUGAGCUCUUUCCUUUGCUUGCGGAAAUACCUGAAACCAAAACUGAAACUGUAAGCACAAAGCUUAAUGAGCUCCCCCAAACUACCACAUACCAUACAAUAGCAUAUACAACACAUACUAGGCCUUGCCCACUGCAUCGGACCGAAGUCCGGAAAUUGCAUCGGACCGAAGUCCAGAACUAACCAAGGCCUUGCCCUCUGCAUCGGACCGAAGUCCGGAACUACAUCAGACCGAAGUCCGGAAACUAACCAGGGCCUUGCCCUCUGCAUCGGACCGAAGUCCGGAACUAACUGCAUCGGACUGAAGUCCGGAACUGACUGCAUCGGACCGAAGUCCGAAAUUGUCUGAACAUAACAUAUCAUAAACAUCUCAACCAGUAUGAACACAUAAACUGCAUAUCGCAUCAGACCGAAGUACGAAACACAUAACACAAAUACAUGCUUGAAUCACAAAGACAUCAAGCAUUCUAAGUACUGCAACGGACGGAGGUCCGAAACUUCUGCUAACUAAACCGACCGGCAUUGUAGCCGUAGACCCGUUCCUACUGGAAGGAAAACUCACCUCGUAAUGCUGGCUGCUGAGAUGCUAACUCUAAAAGUGACUGACCGCUGCUUCGGAACUGUCCGACUACAAAUCCCAGAAACACUAGAUUAGUUACUUGCAUAUACCCUCAGGGUAAGAUGACUAUUUUGCCCCUGGUCAAAGUCAACUUCUAGUUGACCGGACUCGCCGACUAUGGGCGCAGAACCGCCGAGUCCCUCCUUUACUAACUCUGACUUUAACUCACCGAGUCCCUUUCCCACUCACUGACUCUCUCUGAACUCGUAGGUCGAAGAAAAAAGGGGACUCACGACUCGACUCGUCGAGUCUGAAGAACAACUCGCCGAGUCCUGCCGUGCAUAUUCCAAACAAACGAAUUCAAAACUAUUCCAGAGCAUCUGACUUGAAGAUCUGAGCCCUUGGAACUAUCUAAACACGUGAAGUUUCUAACUUUACGUGCAACUAAGAAGGAAUGAAGCUAUUUCACUCAAACACUACUUUUCUUGGGAAAACUCAUCCGACUCGCCGAGUUGUAUGAACAACUCGUCGAGUCUAAGGUGAUCUUCAUCGGACUCGCAGAGUUGCUCAUCAAACUCGUCGAGUCUACGACUAUCUUCAUAUGACUCGCCAAGUCACACAUGCGACUCGCCAAGUCCAUUCAGUCCCUUUUUCCAUACAGACCUGAUUUGGGCCAUGCAGUGGCUCCAAAUCACAGAUCCAAGAUUCUAGGGCAUGCUUAUCACGUAAAUUUGCAAACUUUACGUGCAUGCAUGGCUUUAAAGGCUUCAAAUGCCAACCCUAAGCUCUUAAUGGGGUUCCAAGCUCAAGAGGGACCUCAAUCACGACCAUAACCGAAACUUUACUCUUCUAGAAUGCAAUGAGAGUCUAGAUCUGAUGUUUCCAUAAAAGGGGAAGUCCAUCUCUCAAGUUUGAACCAUAAGAGGCUCCAAAGAGGGCAUAACAAGCAUAUAUGAGGUUAUAAUGGGGGAAUGCACAAGGUCAUAACUUCAUUACCUGAAUGAAAAACAGAUGUAAGCUAACUCCUAGAUUUUCCUUCCCUUCUAUGGACCUUCCUUCCUUCCCAAAGCUUCCAAGCUAUCACAAAUACCCUCAAACUCAACAAUGGGGCUAGGGUUUACAAGGGAAAUGUUAUGAGAGUGAUAGAGGCGAGGUUGGGGGCGCAUAAGUGUGUUUAAAUAGGGUGAAAACCCUUAAAAUUAGGGCUUCAUCCAGACAGGCGGACUCGCCGAGUCCAACGUAUGGACUAGUCGAGUAGCCAUCUCAAAACGCGUGAUCGUCCCGUCUCUACUUGACGAGUCAGGCUACAGACUCGUCGAGUACCCCUUCAGAAAUGAAAAUACUUUAUUUGAAUUACAUACCAGAAAUGGGGCGUUACAACUCUCCCCCACUUAUCUUAGACUUUGUCCUCGUAGUCUGCUGCUGCUGCUGAAAAUAACUCUGGGUAAUGCUCCCUCAUCUCCUACUCGGACUCCCACGUCCACUCUGAACCCUUUCGGUGCUGCCACAACACCUUCACUAGCUGAACCACCUUGUUCCUCAAGGUCUUCGUCUUCCAAUCUAUGAUCGCAACUGGUCUCUCGAUAUAAUUCAGGCUGCUAUCAACCUGAAUAUCCUCCAAGGGUACAACUGCUGACUUGUCCACCAAACACUUUCGCAACUGGGAAACAUAGAAAGUGUUGUGGAUCUGGCUAAGCUCUACCGGAAGAUCCAACCGAUAAGCAACCCGACCCACCCGGACCAAAACCCUAAAAGGGCCAAUGAACCUGGGACCCAGCUUGCCUCUCUUCCGAAACUUGAUAACACCCUUCCAAGGUGAUACCUUCAGGAGGACCAUAUCGCCCACCUGAAACUCCAAGUCCGAACGCCUCUUGUCGGUGUAACUCUUCUGCCUACUCUGUGCAGUCUGCAGUCUACUACGAACCUGCUGGAUCAACUCUGUGGUCUUGAGCACCAUUUCAGUGCUCCCAAUGACUCACUGACCAACCUCGCCCCAACAAAUCGGAGUCCUGCACUUCCUUCCGUAUAGCAUCUCGAAAGGAGGACGUUUAAUACUAGUGUGGUAACUAUUGUUAUACGGAAAUUCCGCUAGUGGGAGAUACGUAUCCCAACUACCACCGAAGUCUAGAACACAUGCCCGGAGUAUGUCCUCGAGAGUCUGAAUUGUCCUCUCACUCUGCCCGUCCGUCUGGGGGUGGAAGGCGGUGCUAAAAUGAAGACGAGUCCCCAUCUCGUCAUGAAACUGCUUCCAAAAUCUGGAAGUAAAACGGACGUCUCGGUCUGACACUACCGAAACAGGCACUCCGUGCUGUGCUACUACCUCGCGUACAUAGAUGUGGGCUAGCUUCUUAGCCGAUAUGCUCUCCUAGAUCGGUAUAAAAUGUGCGCUCUUGGUCAGCCGAUCCAUUAUGACCCAAAUCGAAUCCACUCCCCGUGCGGUCCUGGGAAGCUUGGUGACAAAAUCCAUGGUAAUGUCCUCCCAUUUCCAUAUGGGAAUAUCUAACGGCAGCAUCUUGCCGUGGGGUCUCUGGUGCUCUGCCUUGACCUUCCUGCAGGUCAGGCAUCUCCCCACAUUCCAGGCGACAUCCUGCUUCAUGCAGGGCCACCAAUAGUCGGGUCGAAGAUCUCUGUAGAUCUUCGUUGCCCCUGGGUGGAUGGAAAAUCAAGAAUUAUGAGCCUCGUCCAUCAAUACCUGCCAUACUCCGCCCCAGUACAGUACCCAAACCCUCCCAUGGAGGGUCAACAAUCGUUAACUGUCAUAAUCAAAGGAAGCUACUCGGUCCACGAUUCUCUCACACUUCUGCCUCUCCUCCUUGAGGCCCUCGACGUGUGCCUCCCUGAUCUGCUCCAACAAGGGAGUAAUCACUGUCAUCCUCAAGCAUACAUCCCUGAUCGGGGCCGCUGCCGUCUUGUGGCUCAGGGCGUCGGCCACUACGUUGGCCUUCCCCGGGUGAUAAAGGAUCUCACAGUCGUAAUCCUUCACCACAUCUAACCACCGACGCUGCCGCAUGUUAAGAUUCGGCUGGUCCAUGAGGUACUUCAGACUCUUGUGAUCCGUGUAGAUGGUGCAACGGACCCCAUAGAGGUAGUGUCUCCAAAUCUUGAGGGCGAACACCACUGCCCCCAACUCCAAAUCAUGCAUCGGAUAGUUAGCCUCGUGAGACUUCAACUGUCUGGAGGCAUAAGCUAUCACAUGCCCCCGUUGCAUCAACACUGCCCCCAUAUCUGCGAUCGAGGCAUCACAGUAGACUACAAAAUCAUCCACUCUCUCCGGCAAGGUCAGAAUCGGUGCCUCGCACAAUCGCUGUCUGAGAGUCUCGAAAGUCGCCUGCUGCUCAGGCCCCUAACGAAACACCACCGACUUCUUGGUUAGUCGGGUGAGUGGAACUGCUAUCUUGGAGAAAUACUGAAUGAAUCUCCUGUAGUACCCUGCCAAACCUAGGAAGCUCUGAAUCUAUGAUGGAGACUUUGGGACCUCCCACUGCAUCAUGGCCUCUAUCUUGGCCGGAUCUACCAGUAUACCCUUCUGGUUGAUGAGGUGCCUAAGGAAUUGCACCUCGCGCAACUAGAACUCGCACUUGGAGAACUUUGCUAAAAGUUUCUCCCUCCUCAAGACCUCUAGCACCUCCCUUAGGUGCUCCUCGUGCUGCUCCUGAGUCUUGGAAUAAACCAAGAUGUCAUCGAUGAAUACAAUCACAGACCGGUCCAACAUCGGCAUGCACACGCGGUUCAUGAGUUCCAUGAACGCGGAUGGAGCGUUGGUGAGCCCAAACGACAUCACCACAAACUCAUAAUGACCAUAACGGGUCCUAAAAGUUGUCUUCUGAACAUCCUCACCCCUGACCCGCAUCUGAUGAUAACCGGAGCGCAAAUCAAUCUUGGAAAACCAAGACGCUCCUUGAAGCUAAUCGAACAAGGCAUCUAUCCUCGGAAGUGGGUAACGGUUAUUCACCGUUACCUUGUUCAACUCCCAGUAGUCUAUGCACAUACGGUGCGACCCAUCCUUCUUCUUCACAAACAAGAUUGGGGCUCCCCAUGGAGAACUAAUUAGUCUAAUGAAACCCUUGUCUAGCAGCUCCUGCAGCUGCGUAUACAACUCCUGCAUUUCUGGAGGAGCCAACCGAUACGGCGCCUUGGCUAUCGGAGCCGCACCAGGAACCAAGUCAAUCUUGAACUCAACCUGUCUCUCUGAAGGUAUCCCAGGUAAUUCCUCUGGGAAUGAGUCCGGGUACUCUCGCACCACUGCUACAUCAUCUACUGUCAUCGUACUCUUAUCCCGGGUAUCCAUCACAUAUGUGACAUAACCUGCUUAACCCUGUUGGAAGUAGCGCCUCACUCUCACUGCUGAACAAAGAAUCGGUCCGCGUUGUGGGCUCUCGCCCUGAAUCACUAACUCUCCCCCGUUGGGAGUGCGAACCCUCACUAGCUGCAAUUCGCAAUCAAUCAUCGCCCCAUUGGGGCUCAACCAAUCCAUGCUUACUAUGGCCUUGUUCCCUCGCAAAGGAAUAGGGACCAUGUCCACCGAAAACUGCUCAUCGAAUAACUGCAGUGAGCAUGCCUUAUGCACCCUCGUGACCCUGACGGUCCUAUCAUCGGCUAUCUCCACCUCGAGUGGACAAUCCAGCUCCCUAGGAUCUCUGCUAAACCUCUUGCUAAGUGCAAGAGAGACAAACGAUCGGGUAGCCCCUGAAUCAAAUGACACUGUAGCUGAAAUGUCGUUCACUAAGAACGACCCUAUACAUAAACAUAUAACAUUAGAAACAAUCAAUAAUCAAUGCAUAGAUAAAAGGAAAAUACAUACCCGUCACCACGUCAGGAGUCGCUCGCGCCUCCUCUGCUGUUAUCUGAAAAGCUCUACUCUUCGCCACUGGCACCUCGGCCCGCCCCUGACGACCGUUCGUAAUCCUCAAUGUAGCAGGGGCAGGUGCCGACACCUUCCCUGCUGCUGCUAAGCUUGGGCACUGGGACUUUUUAUGUCCCCUCUGAUUGCAAUGGAAGCAAAUCAGAUCUGAUGCUGCGGUAGCUGUGGUAGAAACUGUACAAUCUCUGCUCAUAUGCCUAGUCCAACCGUACUUGUAGCAGCCGGAACUCCCUGCCUUGCACGCCCCAUCGUGUAAUCUCCCACACUUGCCACACCGACUGUGGCUCUGCUGACCUCUGGACCUAUGAUCCGAAACCUUGGGCUUCUUGCCCAAACUCCCUGUACCCGAAGCCGCCUCCGCCUUCCUCUUAUUCUCCAUCUCAAGAUCAAUCUCUCUCUCUCUCUCUCUCUCUCUCGCCCUUGCAAUCAUAUCAUCCAGCAUCUUACAGCUGGAUCGGCUCACAAACUGGCGGAUAUCACUCCGCAGCGUCUCAUGAUAACGGGCCUUCUUCAUUUCCUCGUCAGCUGCGUACUGAGGAACAAGAAGAGCCCUCUCCCUGAACUUGGCGGUAAUCUCCGCCACUGUCUCUAUAGUCUGAGUAAGGUCUUGAAACUCUCUAGCUAACUGUUGCACCUCAAUAGUCGGUGCGAACUCGGCUCUGAACCUGGUGGUAAAAUCAGCCUAAGUCAUAGUAUCAAGUGCUAUGUCAUCCCUGAUACCAUGCCCAACCUCCUCCCACCAGUCACAUGCCCUAUCCUUCAGGAGACAGGAUGCUAAUCUGACCUUGUCCCCUUCGGGACAUCUGCUAGUGCGGAACACGUUGGCAACAUCUGCCAACCACCUAGUGCUCGCAAUGAGGUCCCGCACCCCAUGAUAGCCUGGAGCUCCACAAGCCCGAAACUCCCUGAAGGUGAGUGUGCGCGACCCCAUCAUGGCCGCCAUCUCAGCACGAAAUGUGCUCAACUUCUCAUCCAUCAACUCCAAGAUACCCUCCUUGAUCGAACCGAAGAUCACAGGACUCUGCUCAAGUAUGAUACGGGUAACCUCUGAAGUGAAAAACUCCCUAGUUUGCUCAUCCAACUGCUCGGCCCCCCAGCCUGAUCCUGAUCCUUCCUCGGCACCUGAGCUGCCGACUGCUGGCCUAGGGCGUAAAACCACCAUUCUGAAAACACAUCAUGAUAAACGUCAAAAACACUGAUAUAUCUCUAGGGAUCGCUACUACUAUAGGUUUCCUGGUCUCGCCUCUGCCUUCCUUGAUUCAAGUACAAAUCCUCAACAAAAACCAGUCCUCAACUGCUGAAGGCCUCCUUGUAAUGCCAAUUAGUCAUCACCUGAAUAUCAUCACAUGUGACGAGACUCAGAUAAUCCUUCGAGUAAAAGACUCAUUCCUACAACGGAUGGACUCAAACAAGAGCUGCGCAGUAGAGCCAAAUCCAGCACUCUGAGAUUAUUCAACCCUGAUCUCAGGCGAUGUGUCGUAUUCACCUAAUGGUUAACUCUCAUUACCCGGAGUCUCAUAAAGCACAAAGCAAGCAGCAUUCGGACACAGGAAACUAAUCAAGCCACUCUAUUCUCAUAACAAGAAAUUGUACUAGCAUACAAUGUUAAGCUCGUACUGUCAGGCAUAACCUAAACAGGCUAUCCUACUGCUGUCUACUCAAUACUAGCAUGCAGUUCUCAUAAAGCUGAAGCACAUAUAGCAUGCACAUAAGGCAUCCUGCUAGAUCCUUAGUCCUAUUCUAGCAUGCUGUUCUACUGAAACUAAAACUGAUAAUCAUAACAUAAACUUGUAUGGGUAAUUUAGGGGUACUUACUUGAGCUCGACUGAUCGCAUGCACCACACCCUUUUCUCGUUUUCAAAACUCUUUUCUUUUUAAGUCUCUUUCUCAAAAGUUCUUUUGAACACAUUUUUCUUUCGAAAAUCUUUUUUCUAUUUCCUCAGUUUGAGUUCAGUUACACCCGUAAGUGUGUCUGAAUCCCUCAAACCAAGGCUCAGAUACCAACUUGAAAUAACCCAAAAUACAACCCAAUUUUUUUUUGUUAAAAAAAUACUAAAGAUAUCAACCAUCAUAAUAUAUCAUGAAAUCGUACGUCAUAAAUCCCCAAAAAGUUAUAAUAGAUGUGUCAUGACAAAAGAGUUGUAUCAACAUAACAUAGUAUCUAAAAUAAACUCCCAUGACAAAAGCUGAAACUGUGGUGUGUGCAAUGCCGUCAUCCCGAGCUCUUCCCUUUGCUUGCGGAAGUACCUGAAACCAAAACUGAAACUGUAAGCACAAAGCUUAGUGAGCUCCCCCAAACUACCACAUACCAUACAAUCAUAUAAAACACAUAUUGGGCCUUGCCCACUGCAUCGGACCGAAGUCUAGAAAAUGCAUCGGACCGAAGUCCGGAACUAACCAGGGCCUUGCCCUCUGCAUCGGACCAAAGUCCAGAACUGCAUCGGACCGAAGUCUGGAAACUAACCAGGGCCUCGCCCUCUGCAUCGGACCGAAGUUCGGAACUAACUGCAUCCAACCGAAGUCCGGAAUUGUCUGAACAUAACAUAUCAUAAACAUCUCAACUAGCAUGAACACAUAAACUGCAUACCGCAUCGGACCGAAGUCCGAAACACAUAACACAAAUACAUGCUUGAAUCACAAAGACAUCAAGCAUUCUAACUACUGCAACGGACAGAGGUCCGGAACUUCUGCUAACUAAACGGGCCGGCAUUGUGGCCGUAGACCCGUUCCUACUGGAAGGAAAACUCACCUCGUAAUGUUGGCUGCUGAGAUGCAAACUCUAAAAGUGGCUGACCGCUGCUCCGGAACUGUCCGACUACAAAUCCCAGAAACACUAGAUUAGUUACUUGCAUAUACCCUCAGGGUAAGAUGACUAUUUUGCCCCCGGUCAAAGUCAACUUCUAGUUGACCGGACUCACCGAGUCAGGGCGCAGACUCGCCGAGUCCCUCCUUUACUAACUCUGACUUUAAUUCACAGAGUCCCUUUCCCACUCACUGACUCUCUCUGAACUCGUAGGUCGAAGAAAAAAGGGGACUCACGACUCGACUCGUCGAGUCUGAAGAACAACUCGCCGAGUCCUGCCGUGCAUAUUCCAAACAAACGAAUUCAAAACUAUUCCAGAGCAUCUGACUUGAAGAUCUGAGCCCUUGGAACUAUCUAAACACGUGAAGUUUCUAACUUUACGUGCAACUAAGAAGGAAUGAAGCUAUUUCACUCAAACACUACUUUUCUUGGGAAAACUCAUCCGACUCGCCGAGUUGUAUGAACAACUCGUCGAGUCUAAGGCGAUCUUCAUCAGACUCGCCGAGUUGCUCAUCCAACUCGUCAAGUCUACGGCUAUCUUCAUAUGACUCUCUGAGUCACGCAUGCGACUCGCCGAGUCCAUUUAGUCCCUUUUUCCAUACAGACCUGAUUUGGGCCAUGCAUUGGCUCCAAAUCACAGAUCUAAGCUUCUAGGGCAUUCUUAUCACGUAAAUUUGCAAACUUUACGUGCAUGCAUGGCUUUAAAGGCUUCAAAUGCUAACCCUAAGCUCUUAAUGGGGCUCCAAGCUCAAGAGAGACCUCAAUCAUGACCAUAACAGAAACUUUACUCUUCUAGAAUGCAAUAAGAGUCCAGAUCUAAUGUUUCCAUAAAAAGGGGAAGUCCAUCUCUCAAGUUUGAACCAUAAGAGGCUCCAAAGAGGGCAUAACAAGCAUAAAGGAGGUUAUAAUGGGGGAAUGCACAAGUUCAUAACUUCAUUACCUGAAUGAAAAAUAGAUGUAAGCUAACUCCUGGAUCUUCCUUCCCUUUUAUGGACCUUCCUUCCUUCCCAAUGCUUCCAUGCUAUCACAAAUACCCUCAAACUCAACAAUGGGGCUAGGGUUUACAGGGGAAAUGUUCUGAGAGUGAUAGAGGCGAGGUUGGGGGCGCAUAAGUGUGUUUAAAUAGGGUGCAAACCCUUAAAAUUAGGGCUUCAUCCAGACAGGCGGACUUGCCGAGUCCAGCGUAUGGACUCGUCGAGUAGCCAGCUCAAAACGUGUGAUUGUCUCGUCUCUACUCGACGAUUCGGGCUACAGACUCAUCGAGUACCCCUUAAUAAAUGAAAAUACUUUAUUUGAAUUACAUACCAAAAAUGGGGCAUUACAUAAUGCUUAGCCCAGAAACACGGACGUUACACUUCUCUCCUCCUUAGGAUGAUGCCAUCCCCAGAAUCAUACAUCAACAAACUAAUGCGGAUAGCGACUCAUCAUGUCACUCUCCAUUUCCUAGGUGAGAUUUGACUCAUUCGUAUGUUUCCGUCGCACAAGUAGUAAGUCAACCAUCUUGUGACGCAACUUCUUCGUCUUAUGGUCAACAAUCGCCUCCGGUUCUUCAACUAGCCUCUUAUUUUCAUCCAUCCUUAGCUCAUAAAUUAGAAUUAUGUCAGGAACUUCUCCCAUGAAUUUCCUCAAAUAACUCACAUGGAAAGUGUUAUGAAUAAUGUCUAGUUCUUCUGGUAGUUCUAGCUUGUAGGCUUGGUUCCCAAUCCUCUGAAGAACUUUGAACGGUCCAAUGAAUCUUGGACUUAACUUCCCUUUUUCCCGAAUCUUAUAAGUUCCUUGUAGCACCUGGUUCCUGGUAUGUAAUUUAUUUAAAUAUUUUGCAUUUUUGGCCUUGGACUCGGCAAGUUGAAGGACCAACUUGCCGAGUAGAAGCGGGAUGGGACGUGGGAUUUAAGUGAUGGACACGUCGAGUCGGGUCCCGGACUCGACGAGUAGGCUCUGACUGAAAAACCCUAAUCCGAGGGUUUGCACCCUAUUUAAUCAUCUCAUUUUCCCCUAAUGCUCCCAGAAACCCUCCCUAGUAAACCCUAAGUGUUUUGGUGCAAGAUCUAAGGCUUUUGAGUGAUUUUUGUGGGUUUUGACCUCAAGGAAUAAGGAAGAGCAUAGAAGGAUCAAGAGGAGACUGAAGGAUUAGAGUUUGGUGCAUCAUUUUCAGUCCUUGAAAGGUAUAAAUUAUGUACCUUGCUUGUUCAUUUGUUAGAUCCUUUUUUGGGGAAGAUUUAGGGCUUCUUAAGUCAUAUGAGGUGGCCAAACAUGGUUGGGGGUCAAGACUUCGGAUCUAAGUCUUGGAAGGAGUCCCAAAGCAGAUUUGGGUUGCUUUUGCACCCAAGGAAGGUCCCAUGCAACAUAAGAGCCAUUUUAGAGCCUUUUUGGGUCAAAAGUCCCAUGCAUGCACGUAAAGUUCGAAACUUUACGUUCUAGAUCGAGCUUAGGGCUUGGAUCUAUCUUUUUGUCAAAGGUUGUACAUCAGAAAUCGAGGAUUUAGGGUGUGGAUGUUAUCGAAUCGGCGAGUCAGUUCUUGGGACACGACGAGUCCAAAGCAUAGGGUCUGUUAUCUGUUGAGGGUCAAAAGAACCCAGUUGGGUGUUAGAAGGGUUGUAGAAGGUCCGAGAGAGUGACCCAACGUGUUGGACUUAGCCUUAGACUUGGAAUUCAUGGGACUCGUCGAGUGCUAGAACAGACUCGGCGAGUCCAAGGCAAUCUCCUUAUCGAUGAAGAUGAACUCGACGAGUUGUUCAUACAACUCGGCGAGUCGGGGUCAGGACUUGUUCAUCAGAUGAAGGUGAACUCGACAAGUGUUCAUCCGACUCGGCGAGUCGGAUGAAGGUUCAUUGAUGUUCGUAAAGAAAGGGAACUCGUCGACUUGUUGCCAAACUCGACGAGACGAGUCGUGGAUAAGGACGAGUAAAGGAAAGGGACUCGACGAGUUNAACUCGGGGAGUCGGGUCAACUGGAAGUUGACUUUGACUUGGACUUGGUUGGGGGUAAAAUAGUCAUUUUACCCCAAGAGUAGAUAUUAGUUUUCUGACUGAGUAUUUUGUGGGGAUUAUAGCCGGAGGAUUUCCGAAGCAACAGCAGGCAGAGGUUUCCUGCACAUAUUAUCAGCAGCUACUUGUUCGAGGUGGGUUGCCUACCAGUAGCGGUGGGUCUACGACCACAAUGUCGGCCCACCAAUAGGAGUUGUAUAAUUAUAUGAUUGUCUUUGUGAUAUCAUCUAGGUUGCUUCUACCUGAUAUGUUAUAUGCUGGCAUGAUAUGUUAUAUGUGAUAGUAGUAGAGUUCGGUUGUUAGGACCGAAGGGUAGGUCAAACACCCCAGAUAUGUAUGACAGUAUGUGAUGAUAUGUUUAUAUGCCGACAUGACAUGUUAUAUGGGAUAGUGGUAGUAGGAGGGGAACAGUCCCCAAGUUCGGUUGUUAGAACCGAAGGGUAGUUCAGACACCCCAGAUAUGUCUGAUAGUAUGUUUAUGUUAUGAUAUAUGUGAUAGUAGUGGUACGUGUGGAAUAGUCCCCGAGGGUCGGUCUUUAGGACUGACGGGUAGGUCAGCACCCCAAAAAGACUUGACAGGGGUAGGACGACACCCCAGAAUGGCCGCACGGGUAGGUCGGCACCCCAGAAUGGCCGUACCGGGUAGGCCGGGCACCCUAGAAUUGCCUGGCAGUAUGUAUGCUAUGUGAUUGUAUGGUAUGUGGUACGAUGGGGGAACUUACUAAGCUUCCUGCUUACAGUUUACAGUUUUGGUUUCAGGUACCUCUUCAACAAAGGGGAAGGAGCUGGCGCGGUAGCGGCACAUCAUACACACAUGUUGGUUUCCGCACUAGUGUUUCUUGGGUCGUUACAAGUUGGUAUCAAAGCCCUGAUCUGAGGGAUUCGGACACACCUUGGGGGUGUCUGGACUCAAAUCGAGGGAUUAAAAGACUUUUACAAGAAAAAUGGUUUCUUAAAAGCUAAGAUAAAAGAGUUUUGGGAAAGAACAAAGUGUGUGAUGUGCGCGACCGGCCGAGCUCAAGUAAGUAUUCCCCAAAGUACCCAUACAAGUUUAUGUUAUGUUUAUCAGUUUCAGUAGAAUAGCAUGCUAGAAUAGGACUGAAGAUCUAGGAAUGAUGGCUUAUGUGUCUGCUUUAUGUGCUCCAGCUUAUGAGAAUUGCAUGCUAGUAUUAAGUAGAAAAUAAUAGGAUAGUCUGUUUAGGUUAUGCCUGGUAUUAUGAGCUCAGCAUUGUAUGAUGGUACAACUUCUCGUUAGGAGAAUAGAGUUGUUUGAGUAGUUUCCUGUGUCCGAAUGAUGCUUGCUCAGUGCUUGUAGGACUCUGAAUGAUGGCCGUUAGCCAUUAGGUGAGUACGUCGCGUCGCAUGUCAUUAGGAUUGAAUAAUCUCAGAGUGCUGGAUUUGGCCCUAUUGCGCGGCUCUCGUUUGAGUCUAACCGUUGUAGGGACGAGUCUUUUACUUGAAGGAUUAUCUGAGCCUUGUUACAUGUGAUGGUAUUUAGGUGAUGGCUAAUUGAUAUCACAAGGAGGCCUUCAACAGCCGAGGACCGGUUUGGGUAGAGUCAGAGAUUUUCCCUAGGGUAAGCCUACGAUGAGAGUAGCAGAGAUCAGCAGUGGAAAAAGGGACUUGGUGGAGUCGAGGCCGUCCUUGAGGAAAGUACGGAUAGAUAUGGAAGGUAGUAUGGGCCCGUACUACAGAAAGCAGAGGAUCCGUACUCGAAUUAAGGAAGGCUAAGGCAAGACCAAGGAACUUGUGAUGGGUGUGAUCCCUAUAGAUGUACUAGUAUCACUGACGGAUGUCAUGAUGUAUUGCGGAAUGGUGGUACUAAGGCCAAGGCCAGCAGUGGGUAGCUCAGGAGAGGGAUCGGGUUCGGGUUCAGGCUCCGAACCAGUGGACGAGAGGCUACGCGAGUUCAUCGCGUCUAAGAUCACUAUAGGCAUCCUUGAUGCGACCCCGAUCAUCUUUGGGUCGAUCAAGGAAGGGAUUGUUGAGCUGAUGGAGGAUCGCCUUAGGGCGCUCAGGAGUGACAUGGCGACCAGCCAGUCAGGAUCCCGCAUACUAUCCUUUAAGGACUUCAGGGGCAGUGGCGCGCCGGACUUCCACGGGGAAAAGGACCCCAUUUCUGCUAGACGAUGGAUUGCGGACAUGGAGUCUGCACAGCUGACAAGCUUCUGCCCCGAGGGGCCGAAGGUGAGAUAUGCAGCAGGGUGUUUGAGAGACAGAGCUAGAGAUUAGUGGGAGUCUGUUGUUGACUCCUUGGGAGCCUCGGCUGUUGAGGCUAUGACCUGGUUAGACUUUGUGACCAGAUUCAGGGCGGAGUUUGCGCCAGCUGUAGAGCUUCAGCAGCUGGCCAGAGAGUUUUUGGAUAUGAGACAGACUACGGAGACUGUGGCGGAGAUCACCGCCAACUUCUGGGAGAGGGCAUUGCUUGUGCCCCAGUAUGCGGGAGAUGAGGACAUGAGGAUGACCCGCUAUCAUGACAUGCAGCGAGCCGAAAUUCGGGAGCAUGUUAGUUUUUCAGCUUGCCCUACCCUAGAUUCCAUGAUUUCCAGAUCAAGGGAGAGGGAGAUCGAUCUAGAACAUGUCCAGAAGAGGAAGGUAGAGGAGGGGCAGACGAUUGGGGCUUCGGAGAAGAAGCCUAAGGGAUCAGAUGGUAGGCCGAAAGGCCAGUCAGGACCAGGCCACUGCAGGAAAUGCGGCAGGCCACAUGAGGGGGCGUGUAGAUUGGGAUUGUCGGGCUGCUACAAGUUCGACAAGACGGGGCAAUUCAGCAGAGAUUGUACCGCCCCUACACCAGUUAUUCAGACGUCUGAGUUGCUGUGUUUUCAAUGCAACCAGAGGGGCCACAAGAAAGACAACUGCCCCCAGUUAACAGCAGCAACAGUGCCAGUGAAGGCGCCAGGUCUAGCGACCCUGCGAAUUACUGAUGACUGGAAGGCCAAGGCUGAGGCUCCAGUGGUGAGGAGUCGGGCCUUCCAGUUGACUACCGAGGAGGCACGCGCUGCACCCGAUGUGGUAACAGGUAUGACUUCUUGUUUAUGCUUUUAUGAUAUGCUGCUGUGAUUUUGAUAUGUUAUGUAUGUGCUCUGUUUAGGAUCGUUCCAUGUGAACGGUAUCCCAGUUCAAGUAUUGUUUGAUUCGGGUGCUACCCGAUCAUUUGUCUCUCUUGCGCUUAGCAAGAAGUUUCCUGAGUCUUCGGGCAUGUUGGAUUGCCCUUUAGAGGUUGAGAUUGUAGACGACAGGUCGGUACGAGCAUUAGAGGUCUUCCGAGAUUGUGUUUUGAGGUUGUUCGAGGAGCGUUACAUGGUAGACUUGAUUCCCAUACCCUUGCGGGGGAACAAGGUUAUUAUCGACAUGGAUUGGUGGAGCCCCAAUAGGGCGGUGAUAGAUUGCGCACAAUAGUUGGUGCGAGUCAGGACCCCAGGAGGGGGAGAUUUAGUGAUUUAGGGUGAGAGCCACAGCGAGGGCCAACCUUAUGUUCGGCAACGAGGACAAGGCGUUACCUUCAGCAGGGUUGCGCCGGAUAUGUCGCUUAUGUCAUGGACACCCGGGAGGAGGGAAAGGCGACAGUGGGCAAUGUGCCUGUGGUACGAGAGUUUGCGGACGUAUUCCCCGAGGAGUUGCCUGGGAUACCUCUGGAACGAUAGGUGGAGUUUAGGAUCGACCUAGUCCUUGGUGCGGCUCCGAUAGCCAAGGCACCGUAUCGGUUGGCUCCUCUUGAGAUGCAGGAGUUGUCUACACAGCCGCAGAAAGUAUUAGACAAGUGAUUCAUUAGACCUAGUAGUUCUCCCUGGGGAGCCCCGAUUCUGUUUGUGAAGAAGAAGGACGGGUCGCAUCGGAUGUGUAUAGAUUAUCGGGAGCUGAAUAAGUUAACGGUGAAGAACCGUUACCCACUCCCGAGGAUUGAUGACCUCUUUGACCAGCUACAGGGAGCAUCUUGGUUCUCCAAGAUUGAUCUGCGUUCAGGGUAUCAUAAGAUGAGGGUCAGAGAGGGGGAUGUACAGAAGAUAGCGUUCCGGACGCGCUAUGGCCAAUAUGAGUUCGUGGUGAUGCCUUUCGGGCUCACCAAUGCUCUUGCCGCAUUCAUGGAUCUCAUGAACCACGUGUGCAGACCAAUGUUGGAUCGGUCCGUGAUAGUUUUCAUCGAUGAUAUCUUGGUUUACUCCAAGACACAGGAGGAGCACGAGGAGUAUCUGCAAGAGGUUCUAGAGACUUUGAGAAGGGAGAACUUGUAUGUUAAGUUCUCCAAGUGUGAGUUCUGGUUGCGCGAGGUGCAAUUUCUCAGACACCUUGUCAACCAGAACGGGAUAUCGGUGGACUCGGCCAAAGUGGAGGCCGUGAUGAGAUGGGAGGUUCCAAGGUCUCCAUCCGAGAUUCAGAGUUUCCUAGGAUUAGUCGGCUACUAUCGGAGAUUCAUCCAUGAUUUCUCCAAGAUAGUCAUACCCCUGACCAGGCUAACGAGGAAAGUCGUGGUUUUUCGUUGGGGGCCUGAGCAGCAGGCCGCAUUCGAGACAUUGAGACAGAGAUUGUGUGAGGCACCAAUCUUAGCCCUAUCGGAGGGCAUAGAGAAUUUUGUUGUGUACUAUGACACGCCCAUUUCAGGUUUGGGCGCGGUACUGAUGCAGAGAGGGCAUGUCAUUGCCUACGCUUCGAGGCAGCUGAAGCUUCACGAGGCGAACUACCCGACGCAUGAUUUGGAGCUGGGGGCUGUUGUGUUCGCCCUUAAGAUUUGGCGUCAUUACCUCAAUAGGGUUCGCUAUACUAUCUACAUAAACCACAAGAGUUUGAUGUACCUCAUGGAUCAGCCGAAUCUAAACAUGAGGCAGCGUCGGUGGUUAGACGUGGUGAAGGAUUACGAUUACGAAAUCCUUUACCACCCGGGGAAGGCCAAUGUGGUGGCCGACGCACUUAGCCGCAAGGCAGCGCCGAUCAGGGAUAUUUGUCUGAGGAUGAUAGUGGUGACCCCGCUGUUGGAGCGGAUUCGGGAGGCCCAACGGGAGGCCAUGAAGGAGGAACAUCGGAAGAGCGAGCGGAUUGUGGGGCAAGUUUCCUCCUUCGAUUAUGAUAGCCGAGAGCUGUUGACACUACACCGUAGGGUGUGGGUGCCGUACCACGGGGGUGUACGCCAGGUUCUGAUGAAGGAGGCGCACAAAUCUCGAUUCUCCAUUCAUCCCGGGGCGACGAAGAUGUACAAGGACCUUCUUUUGGACUAUUGGUGGCCCUGCAUGAAGCUGGAUGUAGCAUGGUAUGUGGAGUGGUGCUUGACCUGUAGGAAGGUCAAGGCCAAGCACCAGAGGCCACAUGGAAAGAUGCAGCCGUUGGAUAUCCUGCUGUGGAAAUGGGAAGACAUUACGAUGGAUUUUAUCAUAAAGCUUCCUAGGAUCGCUCGGGGAGUGGAUUCGAUAUGGGUCAUCGUCGAUCGAUUAACCAAAGAGCGCCCAUUUUAUUCCGAUCCAGGAGGGAAUUUUGGCCGAAAAGUUGGCCAACAUCUAUAUCAGGGAGGUGGUGGUGCGGCACAGGGUGCCGGUAUCGGUGAUUUCAGACAGGGACGUGCGGUUCACUUCCAGGUUUUGGAGGAAGUUUCAUGACGAGCUGGGUACUCGUCUGUAUUUUAGCACCGCCUUUCACCCACAGACGGAUGGUCAGAGCGAUCGGACCAUCUAGACAUUAGAGGAUAUGCUGCGAGCAUGUGUUUUAGACUUCGGAGGUAGCUGGGAUACCUACCUUCUGUUGGCGGAAUUCUCGUAUAAUAAUAGCUAUCAUACGAGUAUUAACCGUCCUCCCUUCAAGAUGUUAUACGGGAGGAAGUGCAGAACCCCAAUAUGUUCGGGUGAGGUUGGCCAGAGGGUCAUGAGGAGCAUCGAGGUGGUGCUCAAGAUGACAGAGAGGAUUCAGCAGGUCCGGAGCAGACUUCAGACUGCUCAGAGUCGGCAUAAAAGUAAUCUUGAUAAGCGCCGAUCAGACCUGGAGUUCCAGCUCAAGGAUAUGGUUCUCCUAAAGCUGUCGCCAUGGAAGGGCGUCAUCCGAUUUAGGAAACAGGACAAGUUGGGCGCCACGUACAUUGGACCGUUCAGAUUCUUAGCCCGGGUGGGCAAGGUAGCAUACAGGUUGGAUCUGCCAGCCGAACUCAGCCAGAUCCACAACACUUUCCACGUCUCCCAGCUGCAGAAGUUUCUGGUGGACGACUCAGCAGCGGUACCCUUAAAAGAUAUUCAGGUCGAUGACAGCUUGAAUUACAUUGAGCGGCCAGUAGCGAUCCUCAACCGGAAGUCGAAGGAACUGAGGAACAAGAGGGUUGAACUAGUGAAGGUGCAAUGGCAACAUCGGAAGGGCUCAGAAUGGACUUGGGAGCCAGGGGAGGAGAUGAUCGAGCAUUACCCAGAGUUGUUCCAGGAACGAACAGCAGACUUCGAGGACGAAGUCUAAAAUAAGUGGGGGAGAUUUGUAGCACCUGGUUCCUGGUAUGUAAUUUAUUUAAAUAUUUUGCAUUUUUGGCCUUGGACUCGGCGAGUUCAAGGACCAACUCACCAAGUAGAAGCGGGAUGGGACGCGAGAUUUAAGUUAUGGACUCAUCGAGUCAGGUCCUGGACUCGACGAGUAGGCUCUGACUGGACAAAAACCCUAAUCUGAGGGUUUGCACCCUAUUUAAUCAUCUCAUUCAGCCACCACUCUACCCUAAUGCUCCCAGAAACCCUCCCUAGUAAACCCUAAGUGUUUUGGUGCAAGAUCUAAGGCUUUUUGAGUGAUUUUUGUGGGUUUUGACCUCAAGGAAGAAGGAAGAGCAUAGAAGGAUCAAGAGGAGACUGAACAAUUCGAGUUUGGUGCAUCAUUUUCUGUCCUUGAAAGGUAUAAAGUCUGUACCUUGCUUGUUCAUUUGUUAGAUCCCUUUUUGGGGAAGAUUUAGGGUUUUUUAAGUCAUAUGAGGUGGCCAACCAUGAUUGCAAACAUGGUUGGGGGUCAAGACUUCGGAUCUAAGUCUUGGAAGGAGUCCCAAAGCAUAUUUGGGUUGCUUUUGCACCCAAGGAAGGUCCCAUGCAACAUAAGAGCCAUUUAGAGCCUUUUUGGGUCAAAAGUCCCAUGCAUGCACAUAAAGUUCGAAACUUUAUGUGCUAGAUCGAGCUUAGGGCUUGGAUCUAUCUUUUUGUCAAUGGUUGUACAUCAGAAAUCAAGGAUUUAGGGUGUGGACGUUAUCGACUCGGCGAUUCCGUUCUUGGGACUCGACAAUUCCAAGGCAUAGAGUCCGUUAUCUGUUGAGGGUCAAAAGAACCCAGUUGGGUGUUAGAAGGGUUGUAGAAGGUCCGAGGGAGUAACCCAACGUGUUGGACUUAGCCUUAGACUCGGAAUUCAUGGGACUCGUCGAGUGCUAGAAUAGACUCGGCGAGUCCAAUGCAAUCUCCUUAUGGAUGAAGAUGAACUCGACGAGUUGUUUAUACAACUCGACGAGUCGGGGUCAGGACUUGUUCAUCAGAUGAAGGUGAACUCGACAAGUGUUCAUCCAACUUGGCAAGUCGGAUGAAAGUUCAUUGAUGUUCGUAAAGAAGGGGAACUCGUCGACUCGUUGCCAAACUCGACGAGUCGAGUCGUGGAUAAGGACGAGUAAAGGAAAGGGACUCGACAAGUAGAUGACCCAACUCGGUGAGUUGGGUCAACUGGAAGUUGACUUUGACUUGGACUUGGUUGGGGGUAAAAUAGUCAUUUUACCUCAAGAGUAGAUAUCAGUUUCUGACUGAGUGUUUUGUGGGGAUUAUAGCCGGAGGAUUUCCGGUGCAGCAGCAGGCAGAGGUUUUCCAAACAGAUUAUUAGCAACUACUUGUUCGAGGUGAGUUACCUACCAAUAGCGGUGGGUCUACGGCCACAAUGUCGGCCCACCAAUAGGCACUACUAGAAAAAAGGCGUUUUACGAUGCUCAUUGCGCGUCGUAAAACGCUCAGACAACGCGAAAAUGCGUGUCAAGGAAGGCCCUGUCAUAACGAGAGACGACACGCAUUUACGACACGCAUUUACGACGCUCAUUUACGACACGCAAUGCGUAUCAAGGAAGGCCAUGUCAUAAAGGAUGACGACACGCAUUUGAGUGUCGUAACCUUACGACACGCGUUUAGGACAUGCAUUGUGUAUCAUUAAAGCCCCUGUCAUAAAUGAAGAUGACACGCAUUUGCGUGUCAUAAUCUUCAGCAACCAUUUACGAUAUGCAUUUACGACACGUCUUUACGAUACACAUUUACGCAAAAUACAAAAAUAUGGAAAUAAAUAUAUAACAAAACAAUCAAUUUCAUUCAUUAACAUCAUGUCAAAAAAUUGUAAUACAUAGCGGAAGUAUUUGUUGAGAGCCCAAAAAGUUACAUAAAUCAAUGAAAGUAAAAUUCAUAACUUUUCUAGUUUUCAUAAUCCUAACAAUAGCUGCAUCAACCUGCGAUAUAUUUAUAAAAAAAAUGUGAUUAUAAAUUUAUAAUUACAAAAAAAAAUAAAGCAAAAAAAAAUUGGACCUGAUAUUGACGAUCUUGGGAAACUCUCUCUGUGGUGCUUGCGUUUUCUUCCACAGUUUCCUUCAGCUGGAUAUCAUUCACAUGUACAUGGAAUGGAAUGGAAUAAUGAAAUAAGCAAAGGAAUGGAAUGAGUCAUUCCAUUCCAAUUUCAUAUGAACUUCACAUUAUAAAAAAUUAAUUGAUCUCACCUUUAUACGAUAAAGAGGAGCAGUAAAUACAUCAUUAAACAUGAAGGAAUCAUUGUCAUCCACAUCAGUUUGAACCUAUUCUUUUGUCUCCUUUUCUUCUUUCUCUUUCCCUUGUUCUUUUUUGUCUUGUAUCUUUUCAAGUGGUUGGUACAACAAUAGAGGUAACGGGACAUGUGCCAGUAUUGGGUCCUGAAGAUCUUGUUGCUUUUGUGCUAAGUGUUUUGUGAUUGAGAAGCAAAUGGUCACAAAUUGCAUAUGGGUUCUGGACAUGCAAAUAAACUUAACUAUCGAUCACAUAACAAAAGCAAAUGAAAGUAUGAUGUUAUAAUAAACAAUUCAAAUGCUAAUACCUUUGACAUGUUUGUAUCUACAACAUUUUGGGAGCUUUCGAUGCUUCGAAGAAUUAAAAGUAUUGAAAUAACCUCUUCCUUCUUUAGACUAUUAUGAGGCUUCCCAUCUUCACAAUCACCACCAAUUGCCAACAUAGAAAGAAAUAAAUACAAUUUUCCGGAAAAUAAUAAAAAUUCAUAUAUAUUUUUUUCAUUCAAAGAAUCAAAAUCAACAGGUAUAGUAUGCAUUCAAUUUAUAUUUCAGGAAAAAAAAACUAAUAGUAUACCUACCUGUAUGUGGGUUCAUAGCAAGUUUUCUCUCUUGGAUAAAACAUUAUUUUUUUAUUUUAUUUAUACUAAAUGUUUUUUUUUAUAUUUUGAUAUAAUACAAAUUAAUUUAUGUUUUAGAUAAGCUCUCUUUUACUUNCCUGUCUUUUACUUAUUUACAUUGAAAAUUGACAAAUAGUUCUUUUUCCACAAAAACAGACAAACUAUCUACAAUGAGUUUUUUGCCCUUUGCCACUAUUUAAUCACCUUACCUUAGUUUUACACACAAAAUCCAAUAAUGGAAUAAUGCAUUGAACAUUACACAUUUGCAAAUAAGAUACACAUUAGCAAAAAAUGGUCUUAGCACUAACUUUCACCACCCACCCACCCGAUAACAAAAGAAAAUAUAAUCCGCCCACUCAGUUUCACUUUAUUUGCAAGUAAGUAUAAACAAUAAUAUUGCAGGGUUUUUUUUUCAGUAUGAAUGAGUAUUCAGUCACUAUUCAUCCAUACCUCUUUAAGUAGUUGAUACCAAAUGCUACCAUUAUUCAAUCUCCAUCUAGGGGUAGGGCUAGGUGUUGGUGUUGUUGGAGCAGAAGAAGCAUCAAUGAUAUUGAUAACAAUGAAAGGGGAACUCAAAUCAUCAAGUUCAUCAUCACUUGUGUUUGACUUUCUCAACACUGAUGAUCCAGUGCGACCCAAGUGUUUUAUACAUACAGCCACUCCCUCUCCUCCAACCAAAAUGGUUUUUAUUAUUGAUGAUGCUGAUGGCGGAUCAUAAACAACCGAACCAGCUACACAUGGGACACUGCUCACACAGUCUUCGCCACCCUCUGUAGAAUAUAAAGCCAAAAGAAACCUGUGUUUGUUUACUACUCAAAAUGAAGACAUAAAAGAAGAAAGGAAUAUGCAUUGUAUUGGAAAAAUGAAGACUAAAAACCUCUUAUAUUAUCCAUAUCAAUAAAGCUAUAUUUAUAGCUUCUUAGACACCCACGAUGAAGUAUGAAAACAAUCCAUGCUCUUGACUCCACCUAAUUAGCUUAAGAAUUAACUAUUAUAUAAAACAUAAAACACAAAACAAUAAUAAUUAUCAAAUCUAAAGUUUCAGCCAUGCACGUGAGCUAUGACUAACAAACCGAUUAACCCAACACCUUCCACCCCCAAAUCCUUAGCAUAUAUAAACAAACACCCUCUAAAUGCAUGUUAUUAGACAUACCAAAAUAUCUUUAAUUGGUUGGCUUGUGUGUCCUUCACAUCAACAUAAUUACUUAAUUAAUUAAUUAUACUGAACUCACCUCUGAGUCUAAGGCUUCAAGCACAACUUCAGGAAUAGCAUCUGGACAAAACUCAUCUGGAACAAAACUAUCUAGUAUCCCUUUUAUUAAUGCUACACCAAAACUCAAACAUACCUUCAAAAAAUUUUAAAUAACUUUAGCUUUGUGGAUAACUACACUACUAUAAAAGAAAAAGAGCCCAAUUUUAGAGACCUCUUUUCUGAUUGUGCUAUCUAACAACAUAUCCUUAGGAAGCAUCAUCAGGUCACUUAAUGCAUUCAGGAGAUGAAAAGAUUUGAAUGAUGAAUCAUCAGCAUCUAUAUCAAAUAAAUCAGUCAGCCACCUCGACCAAUUUUCAAUUUGCACAUUGCCAAAUGAACNNNNNNNNNNUAUAUAUAUAUAUAUAUAUAUAUAUAAAGGAUCACUUGCCAUGGGAAUUGGUCGCCUAUGAUUCAGAUCAGAGGCCUGGAAUCGUCAAGGUAGAAAACACAAGUCAAGAAAAAAAAUAAAAUAAGAGACUUUUAGGCAUAAAUGGUAUAUACCCUGUAAUAGGGAUAACAAACUCCUUGAGUGCUUUUUCACUUGUUACUCCAAUUAAUUCGCCAAGACCUUGAGCAUCCUGUUCUCUCAAUUCUGCAGACCUGCUUAUUAGGCCCUGAAGAUAUAUGGGAAGCAAUGGUUGAAGAGCCUUUGGGAGACAUAACCUGGGUAUAACAAUUGGUCCACCCUAUAUGUCCAUCAACAAAUAUUUAAAUAAGAUAAACCUUAAUCACUACUAAAUGCUGAUUAAAAUACACAUAGUUGCCCCUCGAGUUCCAAAACAUUAAAACAACUCUAUUUUGUGCUUAGAUUCCAAAAUAGGACCAAAACAAAAUUCAUACGCAAGUGCUCAAUGGAUGAAAAAACUCAUAUGUACAAAUUCUAAGCCAAAAUACAAGAAUACAUUAGUUCUACAUAAACCCUAUCAACUCGAAAAUAAAAUUUUCUCGUAUAAUAAUUACAUAACCAAAUUAUGUAGUGAAAUCACACAUUAAAGCAAAUGUCUUUGUUAUUGUGAAUUUUGAUACAUCAUAUAUUAUUAUAUUUUUACCUUUAUUAUAGAUUGGUUACCCAACUUUACAUGCAUUUGUUGAGUUUAUUUCUGGAUUUGACAUGCCUUCUGACAUUCACUCAAAGAAGAAAGACAACAUUCUUCUAGAAACUGGGAAACCUUUUCGAUGGCUCUCUUCCAUGAUGAGUUAUCGUUGCCACUAGCUCAUAUCUUCGACCGUAUUUAUUAUAAUUUUUUUUAUAAAUUAAUAAAAAGAUGAAAAUGAUAUAUANNNNNNNNNNNNNNNNNNNNNNNNNUAUAUAUAUAUUAUAUAAAUACAUACCUCUGGUGAUGAUAAAAAAAGGAAAUCACGAUUCAGAGUAAGGUGAAGAGGAAUGUGGAUUGGUUUGAGUAAUUUUGUGCUUCCUUGACUUACAUAGCUAAACCUCAUUAAGUGUAGUAUUAUUAUCUCUGGAAGCUCUAAUAUUUCACUGAUUUACUUGCACAUACUAAUUCACAUAAUAAUAAAAAGAAGUAUACAUUUCCUGCUGAUGAAGCACGAUACCCUUCAAGUGUCUCUGGAGCUGAAAAAAGAUGAAGUGCAUCUUCUAUUGUAUGCAUAGGAUCUGGACAUAUAUUCAAAUGGAGCAAAAGAAAUGGCUGAAUAGUUGCAGAUGCUUUGUUACCUAUUUUUGUUUUACAUUAAAAAUAUAUAAAUGAUGAAUUAAUGAUAUCAUGUUAUUGAGAUGAGUGAAAAAUGUUAAAAGAUUAAAAAAAAAUACCUCUUGCUUUCAUUACACUUUUUAUUUGGCCUUCGAAGAUCUGACUUAAUUUUGAAGGAAUAAAACUUUGUGUUCUUGUGAUUGUAGUUUUGUUCUUUGGUCCAACUGUUUCCCAAAUAUCAUCAUCAUCUUCAUCACUUAAAGAUGAAACCAGUGAAACUUUUCCACCAUUAAAAUUACAAACUUCUCCUUCAAGUUUAAGAAGUUCAUCAUGCAUUUGGUGCAUUACAAAGCUUAAAAACACCUGAGCAUCUUCUUGCCUUUUUAAAAAACAAACUUCAACUCAGCAUCCGAAAUUCCAAACAUAACAUAUAUAAAAUUUGUUGAUUAAUUUUAUAACAUUAACACAAACCUUGGUCUUCCAGAGAAGCUAUUUGGCAUAUCUGGAGAGAAAUUGUUGAGAACAGAUUCAAACAUGAUAGGUCGAAAAGGUUUCCCAGUUUCUAGAAGAAUGUUGUAUUUCUUCUUUGAGUGAAUGUCAGAAGGCAUGUCAAAUCCAGAAAUAAACUCAACAAAUGCAUGUAAAGUUGGGUAACCAAUUUGUAAUAUAGGUAAAAAUAUAAUAAUGUAUGAUGUAUCACAAUUCACGAUAACAAAGACAAUUGAGUCCAACUCCAUCGGCGUUUGCUUUUGAAUGAAUUCCUUGGGAUAAACCUUCCAUAUACGCUCUGCUCCCUUUCCUUUUGGAACAAAACACCAUAGCAAGACUCCAAAUAUGUAAUAAUAAUCGAUCGAUAAAGUUUCUACAUAAGUUGCAGGUGAUCAAAAAUGGCGGAAAUCAGGAAAUGUAAAUUGUACCUUUAGCGAGAUUAGGGUAAAGCCAUCACAAGUUAGAGCCAUCAUCACCUGUGGGAGACCUAGGGGAAGUUGAUCGCCUCUAUCCACCUGCCAAAAAAGUGAAUCGUCUUCCCAUAAGUUUUCGUCACUUUCUCUCGAUCUUGCCGCUCAACCGGACCAAGGACGCCGGGAAGGAAAAGGACGUCCCUCUUCACCUCAUACUCGUGGAUGUGCCACAUUGGCUUUUCUGAAUCCGGCAAGGUGAAGAACAAUUUUUAUGUUACGAUGUUUUCAACUCCGAUUAAAAAAGCCCUAGAAAUUAUCCCAGUGAUUUUGUGAUAUAUGAGUUGUUGAGGUAUACAGCAGAGGUGGUAUCGUGAUUAGGGUUUGCAGAGAAAAGGGGGAAGAAGAGAAUGAAGGGGAUCAAGCGGGGUAUUAAAAAAUUUAAGAUUUUUGAGAGGAUUUCAUUUCCCCCUUUCAAGAAGGCGCGUUUUAGUAAAAAUUAUAAAGCGACAAUCACAGAGGACGCAUAUUUUAGAUAAAGUGCCCUCCGUGUUUUUAUUUUUUUUACAUUCGACACUAAUUUAAGGGCAUGCAAUAAUGCGUGACCUAAAUCCUCAAAUUUUUUGAAGAGACGACACUUUUUUAUUGUCACUCUCGUUUGCGUAACAUAAAUCAAUAAGUGUCGUGAUUUGCACAUCGUAAAAGGGUCUUUUUCUUGUAGUGAGGAGUUGUAUGAUUAGAUGAUUGUCUUUGUGAUAUCAUCUAGGUUGCUGCUACCUGAUAUGUUAUAUGCUGGUAUGAUAUGUUAUUUGUGAUAGUAGUAGAGUUCGGUUGUUUGGACCGAAGGGUAGGUCAGACACCCCAGAUAUGUCUGACAGUAUGUGAUGAUAUGUUUAUAUGCUGGCAUGAUACGUUAUAUGGGAUAGUGGUAGUAGGAGGGGAACAAUCUCCAAGUUCGGUUGUUAGAGCCGAAGGGUAGUUCGGACACCCUAGAUAUGUCUGAUAGUAUGUUUAUGUUAUGAUAUAUGUGAUAGUAGUGGUAGGGGUGGAAUAGUCCAAGAGGGUCGGUUUUUAGGACUGACGGGUAGGUCAGCACCCCAGAAAGGCUUGACACGGGUAGGACGAUACCCCAGAAUGGCCGCAUGGGUAGGUCGGCACCCUAGAAUGGCCGCACGGGUACCUAGAAUGGCCGCACGGGUAGGUCGGCACCCCAGAAUGGCCGUACCGGGUAGGUCAGGCACCCCAGAAUUGCCUGGCAGUAUGUAUGCUAUGUGAUUGUAUGUUAUGUGGCACGAUGGGGGAACUCACUAAGCUUCGUGCUUGCAGUUUACAGUUUUUGUUUCAGGUACCUCUUCAGCAAAGGGGAUGGAGCUGGCGCGGUAGUGGCACAUCAUGAAUGGUUUUCCGCACUAGUGUUUCUUGGUAUUGUACUAUGACAUUAUUCUUAUUUUUGUGAAUGGUUUUCAGACAUGAGAUGUGGUUUUAUGAAAAGUUAUGAUUAGAUGGUGUUUUCUUAUAAAUGUUUUUACAAGUCAAUUUUAAAAAUGAAAUUUUUGGACUUGUAAAUUGGGUCGUUACAUUCCUUCCAUGGUAAGACUUUAAGCAAAACCAAAUCUCCAACUUCGAAUGCCAUCAGUCGUCUUUUCUUGUCAGCAUAGCUCUUUUUACAAUCCUGAGCUGCUAACAUCCUUUCCCUAAUCACUCUUAACUUUUCAACAGUCUGAUGGACUAUCUCGGGGCCCAUAAACUGCCUUUGUUCAACUUCAAGCCAACAUGACGGCGUACGACACUUUUUUCCGUACAAAGCUUAAUAAGGUGCCAUCUUGAUGCUUAAGUGGAAACUAUUAUUGUAGGAAAACUCUACCAGAGGUAAGUGUUCAUCCCAGUUACCUUGGAAUUCUAGGGUACACACUCUUAGCAUUACUAUAGUGUUUGAAUCGUCCUUUUUCUCUAACCAUCGGUCUGUAGAUGGUAGGCUAUACUUAAACACAGCUUCGUACCCAAUUCUUCUUGUAGACUCCUCCAAAACCUUGACGUGAAACGGCUAUCAUGGUGUAACGCCCAUGUUUCUAGGCUAGGCAUUAAUGAUAAUGUAAUAGUCUAGGUUAACCUUUGUAACCCGUCUUGAAAUAAUAAAAAUGUAUUAUUUGAGUAUUAUGUGUUUUGUGCUUAAUUGUGUGACUUAAAUGAAUUAAGGAUAAAAAUAAGCAUCAAAAUGAAAUGUUAGAUAAACUCGAUAUCUAUGAAGGAUGUGGUAGUGGUCGUGGCAAGGUUUCCAAAUAUAUAAAGAAUGCCAAAAUCUGAGUUAUAACGAAAAAGUUAUGAUCUGUCGAAGUUUCGUUACAGAACCGGCACGGCACUGCGUGACGUAAAUAGUGAAUUUACGAUAGAGCGAUAUUUAGUCUUAGUGAUCUAAACAGAAGUUGUAGAAUAAGUUUAACCGAGAGCGUGCAUAAGAAGAACGUCUAAAUUUGACUUCGUAUGAGGAAGUUAUGAUUUUUCGAAGUUUCGAUUUAGCAGUAUGCAACCCAAAUCUCGAAUUACAGAUCGAGUGAUACUUGGCCGAAACAAUCUAAACGGGAAUCGAAGAUCUCGUCGAUAGUAGUCCAAAAGUGAAAAGACAUACGAAAACGGACGUCGGAUGAAGAAGUUAUGAAUUUCUAACGGAGUUUUCCUGUCCGACCUGCUAAAAAUAAUAUAAUAAAAAUAAGUUCAAAAUUAGCCGACGCAGUCUAAACGAAAGUUGUAGAGCAUAGUCUCACCUAUGUGUGGAUAUAAAGAACAUAAAAAAUGGAGCUCGUAUGAGGAAGAUAUGAUAUUAUGAAGUUUUUAAAUAAUUAAAAUAUAUAAAUUUUAUUAUAUAUUCGGAUAAUAUCCGAAUCCAUGACUCAGCCGAUCUGAUCCGAAGAUUACGCCCAACGUACUGCUUGUAGAGGCAUUACGCCCAGCAUAAUCAGGAUUUACGCCCAACGUAAAUCGAGGUUUCAUCCCCUAUAAAUAGAAGUCGUGGGCAGCCGAGUUUUGUUGCUCAUUUCUUCCUCUCUCUCCCGUUUUACCUCGUUUUACGUGCAAGCUUUACCCCCGAAGCCGCGGUAUCAUUCCCGAGACCCGAAGCCCCGGGGAUCCCGAGAAGUAAAGUUUCUGAGCCGAAACUCUGCCCGUGUAAAGCCCGGUUUUGGAGAAAACGUCCUGGUUUUAUCGGAAAAUAUUAUUUUAAUAUAUGAGGUGAUGUCCGAUCAUCUUCUUAUCAAGUGAGUGUAUAUUCCCUUUCUUCUAACACAUAGAUAUGAAGUAUCUACUUUAGAAUAUGUGUUACAUGUGUAUAAAUAUACGUGUAUAUAUAUGUUAUCUGUUUAUUUGGAAUGAGUAUCUUAUUAGUUUUUAAGUUACAUAUGAAUGCAUAUGUAUGUUGUUAUCUACAAAAUGUUGGGUAGAACUUGUGUAGAUAGUUGAUGUGUGAUAAACUGAUGAGAUGCCUCGAUGUGAUUGUGAUCUAGUCAUUCAACAGAAUAUGGGUGACGACCACGGACUCUUUCUAGACUGUCCCGUGGAAUGCUGGCAGGCUCAUAACCUGUAGGUGUUGGUGAACUUGGGUGUUCAUUUGUUGUAUUCUAUCCCCCUCAUGGUUGCCUUAGGACAUUCAUUGUUGAGAAAACCCCUCUGCAGUAGUGUCCGUCCUGAUGAAAAUCCUAGAUUAGGUCCCUUGUAAUAGUUAUUGUCAUAGUGACGUAAAGUGAGGAUAACAGGAAUGGGUAAUCAGGUUAUUGUUGGUUGGUGAAAUUAAAUAUAAUUAGUUAUUGUGGGUUGAAAACCCUAUAUGCUCACCAGGCUCCCAAGCUUGACCCACUCAGUUUUUUUGUAUUACAGGUAGUGGUGCGAGGGCAUAAGUUGGAGAACUUAUGAAGAUGUUUUUGUUUAUAGACCAGUAGUUGUAUAUAACAGUGUAAGGUCUAUGUUUUACUGUUUAUGCUUUUGUGUCUGUAUCGGAACAUGACAUCCUGAGUUUUGAUAUAUAAUGAAAAUACAUUUCUUUAAGAAAUGUUUUGAUAAACUUUAUUUUAUCAUGUUUUGUUUUAGGGACAAAUUCUGCAACUCUUUUAAAUCAAUGGAUUUACUCUGAAAUUAUUUUAAAAACAUAAAUGAAACCGGCCUUUUCUGGCCGUGAUUUUGGGGAUUUCACACAUGGUCUGAUACUAUCUUUAAAGGAACACCAUGAAGUCUUACUACCUCCUUCACGUAAGCAUUUGCAAGCUUAUCUGUAGACCAUCUUGUUGGAUUAGUGUCUAAGUCCAUAACUAUUUUGGUAUGUACUUGACCCGAUGGUGCAUGGUCCUUUUGGGUUGCCUUCACCAAAGCAACUUGAUUGGAGAAAUAAAUAAAGAGAGAGAGGUUAUUAUGAUUUAUUAAUAUGUUAUAAGAAUAAUAUAUUAAAGGAGAAAUCAUAUUUGUUUAAUUAAUAUUGGUCAAUAAUUAAUUAAGAAUUAAUUUUGUGAUCAAGUGUAAUUAAUUAAACUAGAGGGGCUGAAUUGUAAUUAUGUGAUAGUUACAAAAUAAGGUAAGGAUUAUCUUAAAUAUAGGGUGAACGAAUUUAAGGAGAUAAUGCCUUAGAAUUCGACUAGGAUAAGGGUUUCUAAGACUUAUCUUAUGGUUGCUUGGUGGGCAAGCAACUAGAUAAGGAUAAGGACUAAAACCCUAAUCUUUACACCUAUAUAAACCCCCUAAGGCUCAUGAAUUCGUCUAAGCCUUCCCAAGAAGUCCUAAGGACGAAUUCCUACCUCUAUCCUCUCUCUUUAUACCUUCUCCAUUUGCUCUUGGUGUUUGUGAGCCAUUAGAGGAGUGACACUUGUGACUCUAAGCCUUCCAAAGUCAAUUCAUGGAGAAUUGGGAUUGUUAUUACUACAUAACAAUCAAGGUAACAUCUUAAACCUAAUUAUAUGUUAAUAUUGAUUUCCAUAUGCUAGAAUUAGGGUUUAUAGUCUUGGAUUCAUUGCAUGUACAAUAGAGAAACCUAGAUCCAAGCAUUAGGGUUUGUAUGAGCACAUAGGAUGUCUUAUGACCAAAACCCAUCAGUGGUAUCAGAGCCUAGCUUGGUUUCAAUUGUAUUGAUGCAUUGUAUAACUGGAAAAUUCGUUUUUUGGGUUUCUGGAGGCUGGACUCGCCGAGUCCAUAGAUGAACUCGCCGAGUCCAUGCUGACUCGACGAGUCCAUGCCUGACUCGGCGAGUCGGCUCGUCAGAAGGAGGGAAAACCGGGAUUUCUUGCUGUUUUUGCUUAAGGAUAGUUGCCUUAUCAUAUUAGAUCAAUAUAAAUCCGAUUUUAUGAUAUAUUUGACUAUAUUCUUGAUCUAAUUGAAGAUAUUUAUCAAUUAAUAAAAUAUUUGUUUCCUUAUGUGAUAAUUGAUUAAUUAUUUUGAUUAAAUUGAUAAAUUGUUUUGCAAGAAAUCAUUAAAUAAAUCAAAUAUGGAUAAUUAUGUGAUUAAAUGUUAAUUUAGAUUAUUUGUUAUUUGAUCCUUGUUGUUAUGAAAAGUUUCAUAUUUUCCCCUUUAGGUUUUAUAGUUUAAAUUUGAACCCAAAAGUUUUGUUGUUUUGAAAUUUAAAUAGUUGAAACCCUAAUGUUUUGAAAAAGGUUUCAAAACUUGCCCUCAAGUUUUGGAAUUUAAAUUUUGAUUAAAUAGUUUAAUUUUGAUGUAUAUUUAAAUUCUAAACCCUAAUGUGUUGAAAUGUUUCAAAACUUGCCCUCAAGUUUUGGAAUUUAAAAGUUGAUUAAAAGUUUAAUUAGGAAUGUUAAAUUCUAAAACUCUAGUAUUGUUUUGAAAAAGUUCAAAUCACACCCUUAUGGUUUUAUUAAUUAAUUAAGGUGUAUAAUUAAAAGAGGUUUAAUAAAUCCAUAAAAGUUUUGGUUUACAAUUUAAUUGAAUUAAAAGUAUAAUUGUUAAAUUUGACCACCUAGUAUUUUAAAAGUGUAAAAUACACCCUAUACUAUAUAUAACAUUAAAAGUCUAACAUUAUAUAUAUGUAUGAGUAAAAGUCAGUCUUACCGUUAGUAGGCCUCAUUCACGAAGCUGGUCUAUAAGGGGUGUUUAAGGAAAUUGCCUAUAAAAUGGCGAUUGAAUGGGUAUCCACUCUUACCCACCGCACUCUUGACUAGUGGAGGGUCGUUAGCCGAACGGGUAGGAUAGGACGAAACCUUCCAUUAUAAGUAUAAUGAAGUAUAAAAGUAACUAAAUGUUUUCAUAAAAUUCCCAAUCUUAGUUACUUAGGCAAAAGUGAAUUGAUGCAAUUCCAUGAAAUUACACUUUGUGCCCUUGCGAAGACGUUAGUGGAGCGUGUGUGGUUUACCGGCACACUAAAUGGUUCUAAGCAAAGGUAGCAAAGGGUGACUCAAUGUUUGUCAUAGUUCGGUGGAGCGUGUGUGGUUUACCGGCACAUCGAAUAGGUGACUGUAACAUGUGAGGGCACCAUGUAAGUUUGCAUGGUUAUUCACACCCGCUUUGUGAUCCUCGGCAUCCCAGUCACAAACAAGAGGGGCAUAUCGAGAUUUAAACAUGCCAUUGAAAUGUUCAAUGAAUCUCAAAGGAUCUAGGAGUUUUCAUAGAUUUAAAACUUAAAUUUCUUUUUCGUUUUUCAUGGUGGAAAUUAGUGAAUCGUCAUUCACUUACCUUCAAAUGUUCUGCAAUUUGGGUUACGGCAUCCCUCUCCCGAGUUGUAGAAUAUUGUGUUGGGUCCUAGCCUUAGUAUCUCAUUUGGGUGAUUUACUAAGGACUCAAUCAAUCAACUAACUUGAAUUCUUUUUCUCCCGUUUUGUAGAUGUCAAAGUUCGACAACUAUGGUCUUCCCAAAUCCCGUGGAACAAGCAUUCCACAUGAAGAUGAUAUUCCACGAUUCGAUCGAGGAACAAGAAAUCAUGCUUCACUUCCUCCACCUCCUCCAAUUAUUCUCCCUAACCCACAAGUUCAAAGGCUUGAAAAGUUCAAGAUCACUCAAGCCCUUUUGGCAAGUAAACAUAAAGAAGGAAAGUCGGUGUGUGCACACGUCCUAGGGAUGAAGUCACACAUUGAUAGGUUAAGAAUGUUGGGAUCCGUUGUCUGUGAGGAAAUGGCUGUUGAUUGGGUUCUUCAGUCACUUCCUAACUCAUAUAGUGAGUUCGUAAGAGAGUACUAUAUGAUGAACCGCGACGUGACCCUUAUAGAUCUCACCUAUAUGCUUAUUGCUGCUGAAUCAGCAAUGGUUUGGCGCAAUAGAAAAGCAAAGUUGAUUGGUGAAUCUGCCUUCAAGACCUCUAUGGAUAUAGACAAUGGCAACGAAAGACAUGCUAUGAUCGAAAAGUUUGAUCAUAAGAGAAAGGCAAUGUCUGAAGUAGUUCCAUGUCAUGUUCCAAAAGAGUCAAUUUGCUUUUAUUGCCAAGAGAAAGGGCAUUGGAGACGAAGCUGCCCCAUUUACCUAAGAGAUCUAAGAGAUGGGAGAGUCGAAACGUAUGGCUCUAAUAUAGGUAAAAUCCAUUAACUAACUCUUUUAAGCUUCUAUUCUAGAUUCUUAAUACAUAAUGUGAUAAGAUUACAAUUGAUGUUUUGUAGGAUCGAAGAAAAGAAAGGAAGCUUAAGGGAAGAAGUGAGCAGAAUCUAACCGUGAAGGAAUGGAUUUCGAUCGCAUUUCUCGAAGAUUAGAUUCUUGAGCUACUACUUAGAGUUAGAAUUAGAUUGCUAAGAAAGAUGUAUUAGCAUAGUUUUUCAAUGAAUUGCAUUGUAAGGACAAAUUUUUCCGCAAUAAAAUAAAUUUUGAUUUUAAAUUUUAUUUAUUUAUCCUUACAAUGGCGUGUAUGAAAAAUUGAUGUUAAAAUGUUUCUAUUAUUAGCAAUAAUGGAUUUGGUUCUUAUUAUGUUAUUUAUGGAAAGUCGAGAAUUUACCAAAUAGGGAGAGUUUCUCAUCGCCCAAGUUUCAAUUGGACAGAAACUUGGAAUCAUGCAACUUGGUUGCACGAUGAAUGAGAAAUUUCAUAUUUGGAAAUUAGACUAAUUCAUUGACAAAGUGUCAAGUGAAGGACUAGGAGAUCGAGUACACAAAGUUGCGUGUUGAUCAAGUCCACCAUAAGAGUAACAAAGAUAUUCGUCAUGAUUUACUAAAGGUUUAGUAAAUAUGAUUAUACUUAUAAGAUUAAGUGUAAUUCUGAAUUGAUUGAAAAGGUUUAAAUCAAUAGCAGAACGAAUAAGAAGAAUCAAGUAGGCAGAAAGAUAAAAGUUUCUCCAUUCUAAGAAGAAGGGAGAGUACCUUUUAUGCUUUAUGAUAGGUCUUAAUGAUUAAGAACCAUAUCUCAAUUGAUCCUCUAAGUGAGUCUUAGUACAAUUGUAUGUCUAAGAAGAGGAAUCAAGAAUUGAAGAAAUGGUUAAAUCAAGAAGUCAAUCAUACUUCGUUCCAAAACAAGUCUUAGAGUUAAGAUUGUGACAUUGAGUGAUAAGUAUAAAGAAGGUUUAUAACAUUCAUUAAAUGUGGAAAGUUGUGAUGUCUUGGAUAAGACAAAGACCAACUAGGACCAAUUUAUGAAGUGUUUUGAUAAAAGCUACACUAACUCUUGAAUAUUUGUUUGUCAAGAAAUGGUUAUUGACAAGAGAAUCUUAUAUGUCAAGGAGUCAGUGGGAGUCUUAAUGGUCUUGAAAGGUUUCAAGAACAAAUCAAAUAAACCUUAUCGAUCAUCACUAGCACACGAGUUGAGGUUUACAACCUAUCGUGUUGACAUUAUUUUGAUUCUGUGCCAAUCCAAUCGAGUUAAUUAUGCAUGUGAGUUCUAUGAGUUCUCAUUUUGAACGCAUAAAAGGCAAAGCACCUUAAUCAAUGAAAGGUACAUUGAUAGGAAAGGGUGAGCUGCUUAACUACUUGGAAGACAUGGUGGGCAGCUGUGCUACCAUAAAGGCAAGAAAUCGAGAUCAAGAAAGUUCGAUCCAUAAGAGUUUGAAUUUGUCGUAAACUUUGGUUUUGACAAAUUCACAUGGAUAGGAACAAAUACACCGUUUAAAUCUAAGUGUCAUAAGAUUUCCUCCUUCAUGAAAAUGAUUGUGAGGAAAUGCUUUCACUAAGACAGAUUUUAAGAAGAUAGUGAUUGUAAAAUUGCAUUCUCGAAUUCAAUUAUGGUUACGGCAUCCCUUUCCAUAAUUUGAAUUGUGAGGUUUGGCAAUUAGUCUUAAUUGUUUAGACACACAUAUGAACUAUCGAAGGCAAAGGUGUAUAAGUUCAAGAAGCCUUGAUAAAAGAUUAUCAAAGCACUAAGUAUUAGAAACAUGAACUUAAGAAAUUCAAUAAGCAUUUUUUUUCUGAAAGUUAAGAUGUUUAUGAAUACAUGUCGAAGCUAGUGGGAGCAUAAGUGUUAUGUUUUAUAAUAAUCAUCAAGAUAGUGGGAGCAUAAAAGUUAUGAUUGUAUGAUUAUUAAGGAAAGUAUUGCAAGGUUAGCAAUAUUAAUUAUAGAAAACAAGAGUCAUACUUUGCAAAGUCGCAAUAGUUGAAGAGUUGUUUUGCUAUAAUUAAGGGAGAGAAUAUUAUGCUUCAUUUCAAAUCUAAAGGUUUAGGUUGAGAAAUGUUAAUAAAAUUUAGUCAAAGGUACAAAGUGUGUUCUUAAAAUUUCGAUUAUGAUUACGGCAUCCCUCUUCACAAUUCGAAUUUUGAGAACAUAGCAAAUAAAACAUUAUGCGUCGUGUCCCAUACGCUUCGGGUAUAGGAUCGAUUGCAAAUGCUUUAAUGUUUGACCAUUCUAAAAUUUUCCAAAUGUCGAGCGCAUUUAGAGGGAAAAGGGACUAGAAUUGGUUUUGACUAAAAUAAUUAAACAACUAUCAAAGGACAAUCCAAAGUUCGACGAGGAUUGGUCGCUUGUGAGUAGUUGGAAGUAUAGUAUUGGAAAAUAUGGAAAUGUUUCCAUAUUGGAUGGACCAUAUCGACAUCAUUACGAAUAGAUAAGAUUCUAUUAAGAAUGAGUUGUCAUAUGGAACAUAUGGAAGUGUGUCCAUAUUGGGAAUUGAAUAUUGAGAAAUCUAUGACUAGAUUAGAAACUUCUAUGCAAAAGGAUGUUCAAAGAAUGUACUUUGAGUGAGAGACAUCACAUCUAUGGAAUUGUCUUGUAACAAUCUCCGAUAGAGGACUUUGUAAUAUCAUUGGCAAUAGUCUUUGUGACUUUGGUGCAGUGACAUUACGAAAGGAUCGUUGCAUAAAAUGUUAGAAUCUAGCAUAUUCUAUAAGUAGCAAGAAUUUGAUAUUCUUUCACUUAUGAAAAGGAUUUGGAGUUGUGAAAUGAGAAUGAUUGGAAAUGUGUUCAAUUUGAUCUAUUUCACAAAGUAAGAACCAUAGGUAAACAUUGUGUGCAUGCUAGGAGCAUGGGACAAGUGUAAUAAUUCAAGUAAGAAGUUGAUUACCCGAAACGACAAAUAAUGAGUAAUCGAUAUGGUGAUAAAUAAAAGGUGUUUUAUUUAUACUCAAAGGUUUGAGGCCAUAUGGGAUUAGUAUUAUUCUUGUGUUUCACAUUUGCAUGUUUUGACUUCCAGAAUAAUUGAGUUUAUUAAGAAUAAUCGAAUUAUUCGAACGGGCCACAGUCGUUCAUAUGUUGGAAGUAGAUAUGAAUGAAGACUGUCGUGAAUUGGUGUGUGGAUUGUCUAAAAGAGUAUUAGACAUAAGCAAAUGUUUGCUGCAACGUUCAUGAGUGCUUAUGAAUAUGAUUUGAGCAUUGGAUUAAACCCACGCUCACUUGGAUCACUCCAUGAAUUGUAUCACGAGUGAUUGGUGAGACGAUAACAUCUUAUAUUCUUGAAACCGAGAUGUGUGAGUUGUAUCUUGCGAAUCGGUUGCACAUUGAUAAUAUGUAAACGCACUAGUAACUUGGUGUUAUAAAACAUAUUGUUGUGUGUGAUUUGGUUAGUAAGUGCAAGCAAGCAUUGUAUCAAAGUUUAUCCGUUCCUUUUAUCCAAAGUAGGAUAAAAGCGAUAUCUUUGGGCCCCUCGAUGAUUUAGUGAUGACAAACGUAAAUGCUCGGCCGGGCUAGGGCUAAUUUGAUUUGUUCAAUUAGUCAGUCGUCAUAAAUCGGGAAUCGAGAUAUAGUACAAAGAGAAUGAUUUGAAAUCAUAUCUCAUAUGAUAUCUAGAAUGGAGGAAUAUAUGAUCCCUUAUCUAAGGACACGCGUAUCUGAUAUGAUCAGAGUUGACAGCGGCUUUGGAAAGCUACGAUUGCAGAUCAGGAUCUGAAGUCAUACGCAGAAUAGUUGUUAGACUUAUCCAAGUGGGAGACUGUUGGAUUAGUGUCUAAGUCCAUAACUAUUUUGGUAUGUACUUGACCCGAUGGUGCAUGGUCCUUUUGGGUUGCCUUCACCAAAGCAACUUGAUUGGAGAAAUAAAGAGAGAGAGAGGUUAUUAUGAUUUAUUAAUAUGUUAUAAGAAUAAUAUAUUAAAGGAGAAAUCAUAUUUGUUUAAUUAAUAUUGGUCAAUAAUUAAUUAAGAAUUAAUUUGUGAUCAAGUGUAAUUAAUUAAACUAGAGGGGUUGAAUUGUAAUUAUGUGAUAGUUACAAAAUAAGGUAAGGAUUAUCUUAAAUAUAGGGUGAACGAAUUUAAGGAGAUAAUGCCUUAGAAUUCGACUAGGAUAAGGGUUUCUAAGACUUAUCUUAUGGUUGCUUGGUGGGCAAGCAACUAGAUAAGGAUAAGGACUAAAACCCUAAUCUUUACACCUAUAUAAACCCCCUAAGGCUCAUGAAUUCGUCUAAGCCUUACCAAGAAGUCCUAAGGACGAAUUCCUACCUCUAUCCUCUCUCUUUAUACCUUCUCCAUUUGCUCUUGGUGUUUGUGAGCCAUUAGAGGAGUGACACUUGUGACUCUAAGCCUUCCAAAGUCAAUUCAUGGAGAAUUGGGAUUGUUAUUACUACAUAACAAUCAAGGUAACAUCUUAAACCUAAUUAUAUGUUAAUAUCGAUUUCCAUAUGCUAGAAUUAGGGUUUAUAGUCUUGGAUUCAAAGCAUGUACAAUAGAGAAACCUAGAUCCAAGCAUUAGGGUUUGUAUGAGCACAUAGGAUGUCUUAUGACCAAAACCCAUCACAUCUUUCAUUGGCUACUAUGAAGUGUGCACUCUUAGUAAACCGAUCAACGACCACCCAAAUCAUGUCGUGACCGUCCUUCGUUCUGGGCAGUUUAGUGACAAAAUCCAUGGUAAUGUCUUACCACUUAUCCAUGGUUACACAUAAAGGUUCUAAAAUCCUAUAUGGUUUCUGAUGUUGUGCCUUAACUCUCACAUAGGUCACACACUUGGCCACAUACUUUGCAAUGUUGAGCUUCAUCUUCGGCCACUAGUAGUAGGGUUUCAGAUCCCUAUACAUUUUUGUGCUGCCGAGAUGAAUCGAGUACAUGGUCUUGUGAGCUUCUUCCAUCAGAAGAUCUCUUACUUCGCCCAUCUUGGAAUACCUUUAAUCCUUGAUUAUUUGUACCGAAAACCAAGUUUUUGCUUAAACAUUCUUCCUUUUGGUCAUUCUCCUCUAAAACUUCCUCCCAAGCUUUGUUGAUGCUUUCCACAAUCAUUGUGACAACCUCUAUUGAUUGUUUUGAUUAUAUUUCUCUUCAAUCUUCUGUCCUAACUCAGAUGCUACAUGAAACUUGGUUCUCUGAACCAUGUAACAUACUCAUCUUAGUUGGACUCGAUAUGAUACGACCACUAGGGUCAGAAUCAGAAUCAUCUUCUUAGUCAUUACCAAAACGAUGGUAAUGAAGAACUUGAACAAAACAGAAUCAAUUACUAGCUUCUUAGUAACCUUGCGACUUUCACUGAUCCAAGUGCAAGUCCUGUGCUUCCGGUAGUAUAGGCCUCUACUACCAUUCACACCUACUCAUACUCGUUCAAGGUGCUAUCUCACAGUUUUCCAAGUCAUCAUUCAAGAGUUUCACAUAAUCAUUUAACACAUCAGAUAACAAAAUCAAGGUUUUAUAUUAUUUCUUGAAAUGAUUACAUAAAUGUUCAACUUCGUCCUAUACUAUGCCUCUAAUAAGUUGCGCUACAUGAUGCUAUCCACAUGGCCACUUCAUAACUUGAUCUUCGGAUAUCAGUCCUCACUCCUGCUUCCUUGCAUUGUCAGCUGCUUCGUUAAGGAUCAUUUGGAAUGCCCUUGGCUGGGGCGGUGCGUUUGGCCUUGCCGCUUUAUUCUUCCUUGGGCGGUUCUUCAAAAUAUGCCAUCCUUCAUUGCAUUCAUAGCACACCCUCUUGCGGGAUGUACACUCAUUGGCGUAGUGCCCAGGAUUUUCACACUUAAAACAAGUGACCUCCCGUCACAUUUCCCAUGGUGCUUCUUUUUGUACUUUUCACACCAUUUCGCUUCAACUCCUCCUCCUCUCGAACCAGACUUCGAGAAAUUACUUUUCUUGUUGGAUUUCGAAGAUCCAUCAAACUUCCUUUUCUUACCAACCUCUGCCCUCUCCAGACCCUUCUCCCUUAUCCGUGUCUCAACAAUCUUCAUAGCUCUAACGACUGCCUUCAACGUGCUUGCCAUUUUGACUAUUGGGCCAAAGUCUGAUGGCAAUCCGUUAGCAAAUUUCUCUAUCUUGGCGAGUUCAGUCGACACCAAGUAUGGAAAUAACUUCAUCUUCUCAGUGAAUGCAGUAGCAUAAUAAUCAAUGCUUAUUCUCCGUUCUUCAAUUUCUGGAACUCAUUGUUUAGAUCUAUCAUAUCUAUUUCGGAGCAGUACUGCAUUUUCAACUGCAUUAUGAACUCUUCCUUAGACAUUUUCAGAGCUUUUCCUCGUGGCAUCGUAUCCGUUAAUAACUUCGACCAGCUUAAAACUUUGGUCUUUACUUGUUUGACCGCAAAGACAAUUUUUUGUUUGUCGCUAUAGUUGCAGCUUUCAAAUACCAUCUCUAUUUCGACAUGAUCUUCAUUGUGAUUUGACGAAACAUAUUUGGACGGUUAUGCUUUUCAUGGCCAAUUUUCGAAGAAGUACUUCUUUUAAAUUGACGAGUGUGACAUCCACCAUUUUCACGGUCAGAAAAGACUGAUUUUGUUUAUGCUUUAUAAUAAAAUCAGAGUAACCUUUUUAAAGAAAAGUGUUGUGGAAUUUGUUCCUAAAAUAAAAUAUGAUAAAGAUUUAUCAAAACAUUUCCAAAGAAAUGUAUUUCAUUGUAUUAAAACCUUGGGAUGUCAUUAUUAAUACAAAUCAGAAACAUAAGCAGUACAACAUAGGCGUUACAACAUUUAUUUAAAUCUACUAGCCUAUAAACCAUAAUCCUCUCGUCAAGUCAUCCAACUAUGCUCUUGCCACUACCUAUAAUACAAGAAACUGAGCCGGUCAGGCUUGGGAGCCUGGUGAGCACAUAGGGUUUUCAACCCACAAUAAAUAAUUUUGUUAAUUUCAACAAAUGAAAUAAACCAGAUUACCCGUUUCUAUUUAUCCUCACAUUACGUCCCUAAAACAUCUAAUAUAAGGGACAUAGCCUAAGGAUUAUUGUAGCACCUGGUUCCUAGUACGUAAUCCUUGUAAUUAAUAUUUCUUAAUUUUGCAUUUUUGCCUUGGACUUGGCGAGUUGAAGAACCGACUCGUCGAGUAGAAGCGGGAUGAGAAGCGGGGUCUGAGCUUUGGACUCGGCGAGUAGACCCUGUUUGGGCAAAAACCCUAACCAAAGUGUUUGCACCCUAUUUAAACGCUCUAACUUGGCCUCCUUUGUCCCGAACACUCCCAGAGAGCUGAAGAGCGAAACCCUAGCCCCCAUUUUGUUCUUGAGAGUGAUUUUUGGCUUUGUGAAGAAGGUUUGGAGCUUAGAAGAAGAAGAAAUAGGUUGUAGUGUGCAAAGAGGGGAAGUAGAUCCGGAAUCUACACUACAAGAGGCUUCCAUUCAGCCGGAGGAUUACCGAUUCAGCAGUCAGGCGCUUAGCAAGCAGAUUUUCAGCAGCUACUUUUCGAGGUGAGUUACCUUCCAGUAGCGGUGGGUCUAAGGCCACAAUGUCGGCCCACCAGUAGGAGACGUAUGAUAGAUGAGUGUCUUUGUGAUAUCAUCUAGGUUUGUUACUACCUGAUAUGUUAUAUGCUAGCUUGAUGUGUUAUAGUAGUAGAGUUCGGUUGUUAGGACCGAAGGGUAGUCAGAUACCCCAGAUACGUCUGACAGUAUGUGAUGAUAUGUUUGCAUGUUGGCUUGUUAUGUUAUAUGCGAUAGAGGUAGUAGGGGGUGAAAUAGUCCCCGAGGUUCGGUUGUUAGGACCGACGGGUAGUCAGCACCCCAGAAUGGCUUGACAUAGGGAGGGCGGCACCCCAGAAUGGCCGUACAGGUAGGUCGGCACCCCAGAAAUGCCUAGCAGUAUGUAUGUGAUAUGAUUGUAUGGUAUGUGGUACGAUGGGGGGGACUCACUAAGCUUUGUGCUUACAGUUUUCAGUUCUGGUGUCAGGUACCUCUUCAGCGAAGGGGAAGGAGCUGGCGCGGUAGCGGUACAUCAUACACACACAUUGGAUUUCCGCAUUAUGAGAUGUCCUGGGAUUGUACUCUGACAUUAUUAUUAUUUUCAUGUUUUGGGUUUUCAGACACGAGAUUUGUUUUAUGACAUGAUAUGAUCGGAUGAUGUUUUACUGCAAAUGUUUUACAAACCACUUAUUUUAAGUGAAAUUUUUGGGCGUGAAAAUUGGGUCGUUGCAAUUAUCAUCGGGGUAACAACAUUGCUUAGGGGAUACUGUGACAUCCCCAAAAUCUUGGCCAGAAAAGACCGAUUUUCAUUUAUGCUUUUAAAAUAUUUUCAGAGUAAAUCCUUUUGAUUUGAAAGAGUUGCGGAAUUUGUUCCCAAAAACAAAACAUGAUAAAACAAUGUUUACCAAAGCAUUUCAUAAAAGAAAUGUAUUUUCAUUAUAAUCAAAACUCGGGGUGUCAUGUUCCGAUACAGACCAAUAAGCAUAAACGAAUACAUUACAAGUCAUAUAACAAAUAUAAACAUAUGCAGACUUGUAAACAAAACAACUUGAUGGUUCAUCCAUCUCAUGCCCUUCCGCCACUACCUGUAAUACAAUUUAAAACUGAGUGGGUCAGGCUUGGGAGCCUGGUGAGCAUAUAGGGUUUUCAACCCACAAUAAAUAUCAUAUUUAAUUUUCACCAACCAACAAUAACCCAAUUACCCAUUCCCGUUAUUCUCACUUUAAUGUCCCUAAAACAACUAACAUAAGGGACCUAGUCUAAGAAUAUUUCAUCGGGGCGACAACACAUGCUUCGGGGGUACCUCAGCAAUAUAAGUCAAAUAAGGCAACCAUGAGGGGGAUGGAGUACAGCGAAUGAACACCCAAGUUCAUUAACACCUACAGGUGGCGAACCUGCUAAUGUUUCCACAAGACUAUCUAGAAAAGUCCGUGGUCGUCAUCUAAACUCCGCUAGAUGACUAAAUCAAACAACAACGAGGCCUCUCAUCUGUUUAUUACACACCAACUAUCUACCCAUGUUCUACCCAACAUAUUAGUAGAUAAAAAUAUACAUUUUUAUACAUAGUUUAAAAACCUGUAUAGCAUGCUUUAAUCAACACAUAUUUCACAUAACAGAUGAGGCACACACACACAUAACACGUAUCUCAUAGAGAAUAAAUCAUAUCUAUGAGAUAGAAGAAAGUGAAUACACAUUCACACACAUAACCACAAAAUUAUACACAUAAUACGUAUUCCGUAUAAAAUACUUCAUAAUUAUGCGUUAGAAGAAAGUAACUACACACUCACUUGAUCAGAAGAUGAUCGGACAGCACUACGACUUGCAGAAGUAGUAAUCCUCAGCAGAUCUGGAAGAUCUUCACAAAAAUCGAACUUCUCGCGGGCAGAGCUUCGGCUCGGGAACCGCACUUCUCGGGAUCUUCGGGAUCUCGGGACUUGCCUCGGGGCUCGAGUAUGAUACCGGGGCUUCGGGGUAUUUCUGGCACGCAAAACGAUGCAAAACGGGAGAGAGAAGAGAGAAAAUGAACAAAAGAAUCGGCUGCCUUCGGAUCCUAUUUAUAGGAGGCUGAAGCCUCGGAGUACGCGAGGUGUACUGGUCCGAAAAACGUCACUGCUUACGUAUCCGAAGACUCGAGUGCGAAUGUCGACAUCCCUCGGUGUACGCGGGGCGUACUUCGGAUCGGAUUGCUGACUCCCCUUCGGAUAAUACCGGAUUUUCUAAUAAAAAUUAAAUACAAAUUAUUUAAUAAACUUCGGAAAUUCAUCUCUUCUUCAUACGAACUCCGUUUUCGACGUUCUUUAUAUCCACGCGAAGGUGAGACUACGCUCUACAACUUUCGUUUAGACUCCGUCGGCUAAUUUUAACUUUAUUUUUAUUAUUUAUUUUUAAUAGGCCGGGACAGAAAAACUUCGUUAUAAAUUCAUAACUUCUUCGUUUGACGUCCGUUCUCGCCUAACUUUUUAUCGCUUCGAGACCAACAACGAGACCUUCGAUCCUCGUUUAGGUUGCUUCGGCUCAAAACCGCUCGAUCUCAAAUCGAGUAUUUCGGGCUGCACACCGCUAAACCGAAACUUCGAUAAAUCAUAACUUCCUCAUACGAAGUCAGAUUUGGGCGUUCUAUAUAUACAUUCGUAAACCUCGUUUCAACUACUACAUCAUCAACCAAAGAUAUCAAGUUUAUUUUACACUUUAAUUUUGACGCUUAUUUUUAUUCUUAAUUAAUCAAACCACAUAAUUAAGCAAUUAAGCACAAAACACAUAAUACUCAAAUAAUACAAUCAUAUUAUUUCAAAACGGGUUACAAAGGUUAACUUAGACUAUUACAUUGCUAAAAAUGGCAAGCCCGGAAACACAGGCGUUACAGAUACCUCAACAUUUUAUGUCAAAUAAGGCAACCAUGAGGGGGAUGGAGUACACCUGGUGAACACUGAGUCCAAAUAAACACCUACAGGUUGCGAGCCUGCUAGCGUCCCAUUGGACUGUCUAGAAAAGUCUAUGGUCGUCAUCUAUACUCCGCUAGAUGACUAGAUCAUCGUCAAUAUCGAGGCCUCUCAUCAUUUUAUUUCAUCACACGCCAACUAUUUCAUCUACCCACGUUUUACCCAACAUAUUUGUAGACAUAAAUUACAUAUACAAUUCAGAUCUAAAAAACAAAAUNUAUAUAUAUAGUUUAGAUCUGAAAAGAAAAGUCUAGAUCUGAAAUGAGAAAGUUUGGAUUUGAAGGAAACAGUUCAGAUCUGAAAGAAAGAGUUUAGAUUUGAAAGAAAAGUUCAUAUCUAAAAAGAAAAAGGUUUAGAUCUUUCUUCCAACAUAGAUCUCAGGUAAACAGAUAAUAUAUAUACACAUAACACGUAAUUUAUAUAAAAUAGUUUAGAUCUGAAAAGAAAAGUCUAGAUCUGAAAUGAGAAAGUUUGGAUUUGAAGGAAACAGUUCAGAUCUGAAAGAAAGAGUUUAGAUUUGAAAGAAAAGUUCAUAUCUAAAAAGAAAAAGGUUUAGAUCUUUCUUCCAACAUAGAUCUCAGGUAAACAGAUAAUAUAUAUACACAUAACACGUAAUUUAUAUAAAAUAUUUCAUAUUUAUGUGUAAGAAGAAAGUAAAUACACACUCACAUGAUAAGGUGGCGAUUCGGACAACGUUUUGCUUCUUAAAAUAAUCUCCAUUGAUGAAACCGGGAAGUUUGGUUGAAAACCGGGCUCUGCGGGGGGGCAAAGUUUCUAAACCGAAAAACUCUUUUUCUCGGAGACUUCGGGCGCUCCGGGGCUUUCUUCUAGUGCUAAGGAGGUCCCCUAGGCUUCGGGGGUGUUUAGGGUGGAUAGAGAGAGAAAGAGAGAGAGAGAGAGAGAGAGAGAGAGAGUAGAGUAGAGAGUGAAAGAAGUGUGAAAUAUGUGAGAAAACAUGGCUAGCCUCGCAUCCUAUUUAUAGUCAGGAGGUCUCGCAUUACGUUGGGCGUUCCUCGGUCUACAUGGGGUGUUCCUCGGUACGCAGGGCGUACCCUCGUACGCGGUACGGUUUGCGAGGUUCGGAUUUGUCACCCUUCAGAUGGAGCUAUGUGGCCAAUUCCGGACCUAGCCUUUGCGAACGCGGGGUGUUCUCUUCGGAUAGCCUCGAAAUAUGUACCUCUUACUUCAAAAAUUCAUAUAUUUUGCAUACGAGCUCCGUUUUCGACGUUAUUUAUAUCCACGCGUAGGCAGGACCGUACUCUACAACUUUUGUUUAGACUCAGUUGGCUAAAUUUGACUUUAUUUUUAAAGUUAUAUUUUUAACAGGCCGGGACAGGAAAAGUCUAUUAAAAAUUCAUAACUUCUUCAUCCGACGUCCGUUUUCGUUUUUCUUUUAACCGUUGAACUACUAUUGACGAGAUCUUCGAUUCUUGUUUAGGUUGUGUCGGAUAAAAAUCCCUCGAUUAUAAUUCGAGCUACGGGCUGCACACUGCUAUGCUAAAUCUUAGAAAAUUCAUAACUUCCUCGUACCAAGUCAGAUUUGGACCUUCUUUUUAUGCACGCUCUUGAUUUAACGUAUACUAGGAUUUUCAUUUAGAUCGCUAAGGCUAAAAUGCACUUUAUCGUAAACUCACUUUUUACGUCACGCAAUAUCGUGCUAGUUUUGUCGUGAAACUUUAACAGGUCAUAACUUUUUUGUGAUAACUUGGAUUUCGGCAUUCUUUAUAUGUCCGAAAUCCUUGUCACGACCACUACAACUUUCUUCAUAGAUAUCAGAUUUAUAUAACAUUUUAUUUUUGAUGCUUAUUUUCAUUCUUAAUUUAUUAUAUCAUUAUAAAUAAGUAUAUAAUCACAUAAAAUCACGUAAUUCACAUAAUAUUCAAGUAAUUCAUCUUUAUUACUUUAAAAUAGGUUACAAUAGUUGACCUUGACUAUUACAUCAUCAUACUAAUGUUUAGCCCAGAAACAAGGGCAUUAGAACGAGUAUGUUACUAGGGAGAAGAGAAAGAAAAAGAGAAACGGAAAACAUGAAGGUUUCACGAGAACUUCUCACUGAUAUCACUAUUCCCGUCGGUAACGUCAUGGACAUUGCCGGUGAUAAGGUUACCUCGUUACCAGAGGCAUUUUCGGUGAAAAACGACAUGAGUGAAGCUUUUCAUCGGAGUUGAUAGAGAGAAAAAGAGUAACACGGAAGAGGGAAGAAUGAAGUCGCUAAGGGUAUUAUUCGUGUCACACUUUAGCAACGAUACCAUUUAGUGGUGUCGAAAGACAUUUGUGGCAACUCGAAACGUAAUAGUCGCGACACACUUUUGAGGGAAUAAUUGGCAGAGGGUUCGAGUAUUAGCGGUGACACCGUUGCUGGUAUUAGUUAGUGGUGUGUAUGGGGCGGUUUGGUUCGGUUAUUGGUUAAAACCGAACCAUAACGAUUAUGAUUGGUUAAUGCAUUUUGGUAGCCAUUGGGUAUGGUUAAUAUUGGUUAUGGUUAGUAGUUUUUAUCGGUUAACGGUUUUGGUUAAUGGUUAAUAUUGGUUAACCAUAAUGUUCAAAAUAAUAUAAACGACGAAAGUAUUUUGGCAUGAAAAAUGAAAAUAAAAUACCAAAAAGUCCUCGACGCCGAUGUUUGUAACCUAACUUAUAGUAAUAUAAUAAAAUGUGUAUCUGUAAUACUUAGAGUGAGAUAACACAUAGUCACAUUUAAAAUCAAAAAUAUUUAAUAAAAAUAUAAAACAUUAAAAAAAUUGACAUUAAUAAUUUCAUAUAUUGAUAAUUGAUAUUAAUAUUAAAAUAAAGUCAAACAUUCAUACACGUUCAAUACGAUUAAAUUAAAACUAUUAAAUAAAAAAGCCAAACAUUCAUAUUCUGUGUUAUUAGAUAUAAAAAAAAAAAAAAGUCAAUCACUCAUCUACAUUCAAUGUGAUUAAGUCAAAAACACUAAAAAAAUUCAAAAAAUUAAAAAAAAAUACAUUCUUAAUAUAUCACAUAGUUAAAAAGAACCAAAAACUUAACUUACCUAGAAGUCUUGAGUAUAAAGUCAAAAAAAUCCUUCGAAUAGGACUAUAAAGUCCAAACAAUCUUUGAUUAUGAUUAACGGUGUGAGAAGCCUUCGAUUAGGAUUAUGAGUGUGAAGAUUAAACUAAUUGUGAAUAAUGUUUACAAAUUGUAGAAUUAGCCGAUUAUGAAUUACAACAUUAAUUAAUAAUCUAACUCAAUGUAUGAUUGGAAGAUUAUGUGUGUCUGAGUGAUCAGUCUUUGAUGAUUUGAUUGCUCGUUCGUCUCCUGGUAAGUGAAGAUUAAUAGAUUAUAUUUUCAAAAUUUUAAUGGAUCUUAAAUAAGUUUGACUAUAUNUCUCUUUCUCUCUCUCUCUCUCUAUAUAUAUAUAUAUAUAUAUAUAUAUAUAUUAAAAUAUAAAGUUAGCGGUUCGGUUAAUAAUGGUUCGGUUAACCUAUAAAACCAUAACCGAACCGUUAGUUAUUGGUUAACAAAAAUUAGAAACCGAACCAACGGUUUUUAAAAUGGUUCGGUUAUAACGGUUAAUUUGGUUUUGGUUCGGCUUUUCGGUUAUUAUGCUCACCCCUAGUAUUAGUUUCGCCGUUAUUGUUAUGUACGAAAUCAUUUUUCAAGUGUUGGAUUAUGACAAAAUCGACGAAUAGGGUUUAACCUCAGAUUUUGACGCGGAUCGGGGUUGAUGAGUUUCGCCUUUAGCGGUGACAACCACCAUUACAACGAGACCUAAUCUAAAUGUUGGGUAUCGCUUGUAAUGGUGGUUGUCGCAACUAAAGGAUUCGCCACUGAAGUCCUAUAUUGUUGUAGUGAUAAAUGUUAAACCUAAACACCAAUUUAAACACACCAACCACUAGAAAUUGGUGGCGACAAGUUCAUGGCAUUAAGAGCGAUAACAAAUGGUGUAUAAAUCCAUUAUGAUCUUCGUUGCGAUUUAACAGAACAUAUUUGGACGGUUAAUGAUUUUGAAGCUCAAUUUUGGAACAAUUUUUUUUUUGAUCCAUCAUGUUAUUAAGUUUUAAGUUUUUAAUUUUUUGAGUUGUUAUGGUUUAGUUUCUUGUUGUGUAAUUUUUAUUUUGAUUUAAUAUAAAAUUUAGUUUUUAAAAAAUUAAUUGCUAAAAAAAGUACUGAUGUUAAAAAAAUGAUGUUAAUCCGCCUAACCUAAAUGUAAAUGGUAUGUUGAAGACGGUGUGUAGCAAAAUCAAAUAUAAGCUGCUGGUUGAUGCAUCGGGUAUUGUAUUACGUGAGGUUGAUAGUUUGAUUUGUUGAAAUUAUCUUUUGUGUGUUUGAGAAUUCUUUUAUGGAAGUCCCUAUAAAAAGGAGUUCAAACUCAAAUGUUGGUUGAAAUAUUGCGAGUACACUUCACUUAAUUUGAUUGCGGUUAGGAAGCAAUUUAAUUUCUCAAAAGAUUAAAUGCCACUAAUAAAUUAAAAAAAUAAACUAAAAAUCAACACCAAAUUAAUGCCAAAGCUUUAAACCAUAUAUUACUAAAUUAAUUCACAUACGCCAUCAAAAAAAAAUUCAUGUCACAAACCCAUACUCAUAAAACUCACUUUCCAGGUACAAAGUUUGUAGCAUAUGACCAUGCAUUGUUUGCAACAGGGUCAGCAAGGUGGUCAGCGAGGUUCUCCAAUGGUCCCUUUCCGGUAACAAUGGCUUGAACAAAGAAUCCAAACAUAGAGAACAUGGCUAGUCUACCGUUCUUGAGCUCCUUCACUUUCAGCUCAGCAAAUGCCUCUGGGUCAUCAGCCAGACCCAAUGGGUCGAAGCUACCACCAGGGUAAAGUGGGUCAACUACCUCACCAAGAGGUCCACCAGCAAUUCUGUAACCUUCAACUGCACCCAUCAAGAUCACUUGGGUAGCCCAGAUGGCUAAAAUGCUUUGUGCAUGGAUCAAACUUGGGUUCCCCAAGUAGUCAAGACCACCCUCACUAAAGAUCUGGGAUCCAGCCUUGAACCAUACAGCCUCACCAAACUUGACACCAUUACGCGCCAAGAGUUCGGGGAAGACGCACCCAAGAGCUCCGAGCAUGGCCCAUCUGCUGUGGAUGACCUCAAGCUCACGGUUCUUGGCGAAUGUUUCAGGAUCAGCAGAGAGCCCAGCAGUGUCCCAACCGUAGUCACCGGGGAACUCACCGGUCAGGUAAGAUGGGGCUUCGCCGGAGAAUGGGCCAAGGUACUUAACACGGUCGGGGCCGUACCAUGGACUUCCUGAUGGUGCGACUUUCUUGACUGCUGUCUUCCUCAUGGAAACCCUUCCAUUUCCGGUGAUUUCUGAACCAGAUGGUGUUAUUUUCACUGCUUGUCCGAUGAAUGAAGAAGAUACAGACAUAGUGGAAGCUGCCAUUCUGUUAAAUUUGGUUGAAAGAUGUUGUGGAGAUAGGAGAGUUUGAGUUAUGAAGAUGGGGAGAUCUGCAAGUUUAUUUAUAAGGUGGUUUUUUGGUCAGAUAGAUAUGAUCGAUGCUUAUCUAGAUACAAUCUUCACCUUCAUUUUGAUUGGCAAACAACAUUCUAGUUUUAUCUAAGGGUCAGUAAUCUGCGUGCUGUGAGUUCUCUGGUCCACCAGAGAUUUUUGAAGGGGCUGCGGUAUAUUCAUGGCUCUGGUUUAUUGAGGGAAUGUAAUGGCUCCCAUUCUCAGCCACAAGCUGUUCUUGGUGGGGUUUUUCAUCUUUAACCAUUUUACAUUUUCACAAAGUUACAUAAAUAGUCAUCAUGCUUUACAAAGUCACCGGUUCAGCAACAAACUUUUUUUCCAUGAUUAAAAAUUCAAAACGGUCCGUAUGGUUUUAAUAUUAUUAGUAAUCAUCUUAACAUUUCUAAUUUUUAAAGACAAAUAUUCAUAUAAAUGGUUAUGUGAUUUUCCAGAAUAUCAAGUGGAGCACAUCAUUUUUUCGGUCUUAUGGAAUGACUAUUUGGUUUCAAUUCCUAUCAUAAUUGAUCUUAGAGCAUCCACAAUAGGGGAGUUUAAUGGAAGAGUUGAAUGAGGUGUCAUGCCUACUUGUCAUUCAAUGGAUACAACUCCACCAUUGUGAAAUGCCACCUUGGCAUUCAAUGAAUUUGGAGUUCAAUGGUCAUUGAACUCUUCAAUGGGAAAAAGGAAAAUCUUUAAAUCUUUAAAUAAAUAUUUUUUAAUAUAUUCCAUUGAACUUGUAGAGUUUAAUGCAUUGUGGGAUAAAAAUGAAAAGAGUUGUAUGGAAUAAUGAAUGAUGACGUGACACUCCAUUGAACUCUAUAGAGUUCAAUGCAUUGUAGAUGCCCUUAGUCCCACAUAAAUAAACUUUUAUACCCUUCUAUAUUAUAAUUAGUUUAUUUAAUAUAUAAAUAGCUAUGUUUUAUAGUUAACAAUAAAUUUUGUUCAUNNNNNNNNNNNNNNNNNNNNNNNNNNNNNNNNNNNNNNNNNNNNNNNNNNNNNNNNNNNNNNNNNNNNNNCUCUCUCUCUCUCUCUCUCUCUCUCCCAUCACACCCUCCUAAUCUUUAUUUCUUUCACUCGAUCGGUCAACCUCUUUUCUUUCUACAUAAAAAUUAAUCCAAAAUGCAGCCUUUUCCCAUACUCUGUGCUUGCACCGCCACUUUACCUUCUUGAAACCAAAUUACUAACCAUACACAAGUCUACAAAUCUACUAAUGUGUCUUCCAUUUCUCAAAAUCGAAAAAUAGAGAAGGUGUAGAACAUUGAGCUCACUUCUGUGCAUCUCCCACCUCUUUUACACAAAUAUGAAAUUAAAAUUGAAGAACAACUUUGUGAAGAACCUAGAUUGUGGAGAUGAUGAUGAAUAAAGUCGAUAGUUGGUGGUGCUCGGUGAUGUUUGAUGUUAGCGGCAGUACACUAGUGUUGUGGUGAUCGCCUGUUCAGUUGGUUAUAUUCUGGUAGGGUGGACGAUGGUGACCGUAGAACAGUUCAUAUAUAUAUNNNNNNNNNNNNNNNNNNNNNNNNNNNNNNNNNNNNNNNNNNNNNNNNNNNNNNNNNNNNNNNNNNNNNNNNNNNNNNNNNNNNNNNNNNNNNNNNNUAUAUAUAUAUAUAUAUAUAUAUGUGUGUGUGUGUGUGUGUGUGUGUGUGUGUGUGUGUGCGCGCGCACACUACAAGAAAUUUAGGUGUUUAUCCACACACGUUAUAUGUGGCUAAAAGACCUUUAUGUGUAGUUAUCUUUAGCUACACACAGAUUAAGUGUCAUAAUGUAUUGACUCAUGCCUAUAGAUAUAUAUCAUUAACUAUACAUUCAUUAUGUGGAAGUAUAGUGCAAUUAGUACACACAUACAUGUGUGGUUAAAACUAGUAAGUAUGUGCAUAUAGAAAGGGAGCUGAUCCGUUCACAACAAUUUUUCUCCAUACACAAUAAUUGAUGCUUUAAAAUGUUGUAUUAUACAACUAUAUAAUGCAUGAAUUGUUGUGUAUGGCAAAAAACUGUUGUGUACGAAUCACUUCCCAUAUAGAAGUACUAAAAAUUGUUUGAGUUGUCAACGAUGUGGCUGAUGACAUGUCAAAUUAUGUGGCAAGCCCACACAAAGUGUUGGUGAUAUGUGUUAUUCGAUAUGUGUGGGUAAUAAUUGUUAUAUGUGUAGGUUAAGAUAAGAUAUAUGAAAUAUAUAAAACACAAUAAAUGAAAUAUAAAAUUUAACAACACAAAUUGUUAUUACUUUUAAUAAGGAGUUAACGAUAUAUAAAACUUCUUUUGGAAUGGAAGUAUGUAGCACCCAAAGUCAGAAAGGCCAAGAAAGGAAAGGAAACCCUAAGUUUAAGGGACGACUCAGCAAGUCCAAGGAGGUACUCGGCGAGUCCGAGCGGGAUCCGGGUCGAGGAGUAAAUGACCGACUCGGCGAGUCGGCCAAGGAGACUCGGUGAGUCUGGUCUGUACGAGGAAAUCCCUAAAUUCGGGACUUGGAGCCUAUUUAAGCGCCUCAUUCUCUUCUCUAGGGUUCCUCUACUGCCUCUCUAACCNCUCAACCCCACCCCCGCCCCGCCAUAUCCAUUGUUGAGCCAAUUAUUGCUUUGAAGAGUGCAUUAAAGCUUGGAGAAGGAAGAAGGACCUUGGAGGUGCAAGAAGGAGCUAUAGAUCUGGGCUUGGGAAGAUAUUUCUGAACAUUUGGAGGUAAUAAACUAGUUCUUGGACUCCUUUGCACCUAGAUCUAUGUGUGAGUUUUGGGGCUUUUGGCCAUGAUUGGUACCCAUUUAAGUUAGAAGCCAGAUCUAAAGUUGCUACUUCGGAUAUAAGCAUAUUAUGGGCUUGUGAAGCAUAAAGUAUCAGCCCUUGAGUUGAUUAUGGAGCCUCUUUGCAUUAAACCCUAUUUUAUGGUGUGUCUAGCCUAGAUCUCCUUCUCUACACGUAAAGUUUGCAACUUUACGUGAGGAAUAGGCUUGGGAAGGGUAGAUCUACAGUUUGGGGUCCAUGCAUGACUCAAAAGUCCUCUACAUGUAUGUAGAUCUGAAUGGACUCGGCGAGUCCUUUGAGUGGACUCGGGGAGUAGCAUGAAGAUUAGGAGGAACUCAACGAGUGGGAUGAACAGCUCAUCGAGUCGGAUGAAGUUGGGCAGGAACUCGGCGAGUUGGAAGAACAACUCGGAGAGUCGGUUGAAGAUUGCCUUGGACUAGGUGAGUCUGUUCUUGGACUCGGCGAGUCAGGUCGCGAAACCCUAAACCCUUCGACUUGAGACUCGAAUCAGUGAGUCGAGUGGAGACUCGGUAAGUUGGACAGGUCAGGACUCGGAAAUCGGUAGACUCGGCGAGUCAUGGACUGACUCGGUGAGUCGAGUCGCGAUUGGAAGGACUUAGAGCAUAUGAACUCGGCGAGUCAAUAGGUAGACUCGGCGAGUAGGGUUGACCUGGAAGAUUGACUUUGAACAGGACUUUGACUUUGACCAGAGUUGACUUAGUUGACUGUUGGGGGUCAGUUAGUCUAAGUGUUUCAUUGAUAUUGGUAGCUCGGGGAGCUAGUGGAGCAGGAGUUCAGAGAGUUUCCGGGCAGCAUCCAGAAGGUUAUCAGCAUGUUCAGCAAGUGCAUGUGAGUUUCCCUUUGUGCCAAUGGGUCUACGGUCACAAUGUCGGCCCAUGUAGUUAUGAGUAGAAGACCCGGGGGUUAGCCCUAGGCACAGUAUGCUAGUAUGAUAUUCAGGACGAGGUCCAAUGAUAGCGGGCGGGUGCCCAAGGAAUGGUUUAUGUGAUAGUUUAUACUUGUUGUAUGUGUGAUACUUGUAUGUGUCUGGUAGGGAGGUGAGUGUGGGCGAGGUCCCGUAUCUCACCAAUAGCAGAGUGUGGAUGGUGUUCCACAUCUCAGUAGCAGCAGAGCAGGGGCGAGGCCCAAGUUAGGGAAGGAGUGAGGGUGGGCUGGGCCCGUACCUCACUAUCAGCAGGAGUAUGGACGGGGUUCCAUGACUCAUCAGUAGCAGGACAAGGGCGGGGCCCAGAGAUAGGCGAGGCCUUAGGACAAGAUCCGUUAGUAUGUGUUUAGCUUAUGUGAUGUGAUGUGAUAUGUUUAUGUGCUAUUAUAUGUUAGUGGGCGAGGCCCUGUGACAGGCGAGGCCUAAGUGAAACAGAUCUGUAUCCGAGCGGGGCUCGAAGCCAGGCGGGGCCUGGAGCGGCGGGGCCGUUGUAGCGGGCGAGGCCCGAGGUAGGGGGGGAGGCCCAGGAUAGCGGGCGUGGCCCAGCGUGUGCAGUAUGUGGUUAUGCAUGGUAUGUGGUAGGGUGGGGAACUCACUAAGCUUCGUGCUUACGGUUUUCAGUUUUGGUUUCAGGUACUUCCGGUAGCGGAGGGAAGAGCUCGGGGGUGAUCGCAUGGCACACACCAUAGAUUAGACAGUCUGGGAAUGUUUUACUCUGACAAUGAACAUGUGUUUUGGAAAAUUAAUACUCUGAUUAUGUUUUGAAUUGGUGACCUUGCUUAAAGAAAUCUUUUAUUAAAAGAAAUUUUUAGUCAUGAAUUUUGGGACGUUACAAGUUGGUAUCAGAGCCUUGGUUUGAGGGAUUCGGGCAUACUCUCGGGUGUGCCUGAACUCAAACUAAGGGGUCGGAUAAAAAGUUUUCAAAAUGAAAAGACAGUUUUCUAAAAAGAGAGUUUUGGGAAAGAAAACAGUUUUAGAAAAGCAAAAAGAAUUCAGAAAGAAAAGAACUUUGAAAAGAAAAAAAUGGUGUGGUGCAUGCAAUCAGCUGGUCUUAAGUAAGUACCCCAAAUUACCCAUACAAGUUUAUGUUAUGAUUAUCAGUUAGUAGAACAGCAUGCUAGAUUAGGACUAAGGAUCUAGGGAGGAUGCCUUAUGUGCCUAUUAUAUGUGCUUUGAGUUGCAUGAUAGUGUUGAUUAGACAGUGGUAGGAUAGCCUGUUUAGGUUAUGCCUGAGUAUAUGAGUUUGUGUUGCAUGCUAGUUCAGAUUCUUGCUAUGUGGAUAUGAUUGCUUAUGUAUGUUAUGGUUAGAUUUUCCCCUUGUCUGAAUGCUGCCUGCUUUGUGCAAUAUGGGAUUCCGAGUGAUGGGAGUAACCAUUAGGUGGAUACGUCACGUCACAUGUGAUCAGGGUUGAAUAAUCUCAGAGUGCUAAAUUUGGCCCUAUUUCGCAGCUCUCGUUUGAGUCCAACCAUUGUAGGGAUGAGUCUUUUACUCGAAGAAUUAUCUGAGCCUUGUCACAUGUGAUGGUGUCCAGUUGAUGGCCAAUUGGCAUCACAAGGAGUCCUUCAGCAGCUGAGGCCUGGUUUGGUGUGAGUCAGAGGUUUCCUUAGGGUAAGCCUAGGAUGAGAUAGUGUUGGGAGCAGUAGUAGUGGAUAAGGGACCUGGUGGAGUCGAAGCAAUUCCNGAGGAAAGUACAGAUAGAUAUGGAUGGUAGUAUGGGCCCGUACUACUGAAAGCAGAGGAUCCGUACUCGAUUCGGGAAAGGCUGAGACAAGACCGAGAACCUAGUAGGGUGAGUGUGUGUCUGGUCUCACAGCAGUGAUAAGUAUUCUGAUAGAGGAUGUAUUAUAUAUUCAGCAUGGUGACAUUGCGAGAGAGACCAGUGGGUGGACCAGGCGCCGGAGAGGGAUCGCUCGGGGUCNAGCAGCUCGAGGAGCGGAUGAGGGAGUUGAUAUCAGCUGAGGUUACGCGCAGUAUUCUAGAUCAGACUCCUGUGAUCUUUGGCACGGUCAAGGAGGGUAUAUUGGAGAUUUUGGAUGAGAGGCUGGGAGCCUUCCGUACCGAGAUGAUGGCAUUGAUGGGAGCACGUACCUUGACAUUUCGAGAGUUCAGGGCUUGCGGGGCACCAGAUUAUCAUGGGGCUAGGGACCCCAUCGCUAGCAGCAGAUGGUUGGUUGAUGUUGCCAAUGCAUUCCGUACGAGCCGGUGUCCUGAGGGGGACAAGGUUAGGCUCGCUUCUUGUCUUCUGAAGAACAGAGCAAGGGAUUGGUGGGAGGAGAUUAGUCAUGCCUUGGGGGAUGAUGUCGCGUUGGAUGCGAUGACUUUGAGCGAUUUCUCGUCCAGGUUCAGGGCGGAGUUUUCGCCGAUUAUUGAGGUGCAGCAGUUGCCACAGGAGUUUCAGGAUUUGACGCAGACCACUGAGACUGUGGCGGAGAUCACCGCCAAGGUCAGGGAGAGGGCUCUUCUUGUACCGCAGUGUGUCGCGGAUGAGGAGAUGAAGAAGGCCCGAUACCAUGAGAUGUUGAGGGAUGAUAUCAGGGUGUUCGUGAUCAGGUCCAGCUGUAAGACGCUAGAAGAUAUGAUUUCUCGAGCUAGAGAGAGGGAAAUUGAUUUGGAGCAGAUCCGGAAGAGGAAGCCGGAUGAGGUUUAGGUAGCCACAGGUUCGGGCAAAAGGCCUAAGGGAUCAGAUUCGAGAUCGAGGGAUUAUCAGGACCGCAGUCGGUGCGGGAAGUGUGGCAGGGCGCACAGGGGUGCGUGUAGGAGUGGUAGCGGUGGUGAUUCUGGCUGCUUCAAGUGCGGUCGGACUGGUCAUUUCAGUAGAGAUUAUACUGUUACCACCACACAGGGAUCAGACUUGAUAUGUUUUCACUGCAAUCAGCGGGGCCACAAGAAGGCCCAGUGCCCCAGUUUGUUUUCAAUAGGACGGGUGAUGACACUUGCCCCUGCAACUUUGAGGAUCACAGACGGCCGUCAGGGCCGUGCAGAGGCGCCUGCGGUAGGAGGCAGGUCUUUUCAGAUGACUACCUUGGAGGCGCGAGCAGCACCGGACGUUGUAGGUAUGCGAUUUUGUUUUCAGUUCUUUUAUUUGUGCAUGAUUAUAUUGUUAUGGUUCUGGAUCAUCAUUGGUUUGAGUAUUUUAUUUUUUGAGCGGUUGAUUGUGAUCGAGUUAUAUGCCAUCUUAAUACCUUGGAUAUUUGAAUGGUAGUUAGGAGAUGUGCUCUAUUAGAGAAGGUUUCAUAGGAUGCAGUAAUUGUAGCAUGCCUGGGAGGGACUUGGUAUGUCUCGCUAGAUCGGAGUUGUAUAAUGUUAGAGAUGGAUUGGUUAGAUCCCUAGCUAUGGUGAGCUUGGGUUCCUCAGCAGCUUGAUUAUGGAAUGGUAGCAAGGAUUGGGAUUCUUUUGAGUAUUGAGCAGCAAGGGGUAAGCAGGAUCGAAGUGGGGGAGAAUCCUCCGAGUGUGCAAAGGUAGGAUCACGCAGACCCAAAAUGAGUGCGCGACCUCCGAGAAGGAAAAGAAGUAGUUCAGCGUUUGAUGGAUUGAGGAUUUCAGGGUUGGGAUUUUGAGAAACUCCCCAUCAGCUAGUGCGUGUGAUGGUGAUGGUUAGUAUGUGGUUGGGAAUUCAGGUUGUGGAUCGCCCGUAGGACUCGAGGGAGUCGGAAUGAGGAUCUUGAGAGCUAAUGGCACAUGGGUGCCUUCGUAUUAGCAGUCAGUGGUAGAAAGUGAUGUAAGACUACGGGGCAGCCGUAGCAUUCACUAACAGUUAGUGGUAGAAAGUGAUGUAAGACUACGGGGCAACUAUAACACUCACUAGUAGUCAGUGGUGGAAGUGUUGUAAGACUACGGGGCAACCAUAGCAUUCACUAGCAGUCAGUGAUGGAUGGUGAUGUAAGACUACUAGUAAGCCGUAGCAUUCCUUAGUAGCUUCGUUAGCGGAGUUGGGGCGAGGCCCUUAUCUCCUAGCGAUCAGAUAGGGAUCAGGAAUGGGUAGUGGAUGAAAGUGAUAGGAAGUUUGCUUGUAUAGCCCUAGAGAGGUGAGACCUUGGGAGAGGCCGCUCCAGGAUAUAGUUGGGUGAGGCCUGUGGGCGAGGCCCGUAUGAGAGUAGCGGUAUAGGUGAGACCUGAGAGUAGGGUUGCUCAGUAGUAUGGCCGGGUGAGACCCGUAGGCGAGGCCCGAGAGAGAGUGGUUAGACAAGUAGGACUAGAAGGAUAGAGGCGGGGGGGACCCGUGGGCGAGGCCCGUGUGUUUUAGCGGCAUAGGGGGGACCUGGUAAGGACCUUAGUGUCAAGAUAAGGGAUCGGGGAUCCAUGGAUUGUAGUGACUGAAUGGCAGAAUAGAUUGCGCAGUUAUAGGUGGUCAAAGUUCCUUCGAAAGUCGCUGGGAGCGACUAGGAGUAGUGUUGGGACUAGCGACCGGUGGGAUCCGGUAAUCCAGAUAUUGGUAGGACGGUAGGGAUUAGGGUGGUCUCAGUUCAUCCGGAAGGCAGAUAAGGAAUAGCAGAAUUUUCAGUCAGUAGUAGUGCGGGUAAGCAGUGUAUGGUGGAAUUCAGUUAGUUGUAUCGAGGGGUGCUCGACACCAAGUUUUGACAGAGAGGAGUGUCAGUGGUUACUGGCGGUGAUGACCUGUACUGGAAGUAGCGGGGGUGAUGGAGUUGGCGAAGGAUAUGACCUUCACAGUGACAGAGGAAAUAGUUGGUUAUGGAGCAUUGCCUUGGGAAGGCAAGGAAUUCGCACAAGGAAAGAAGGGGUGAACCCCUAUAGGUUCAGUACAGUACUCGGUGAGUACCGGAAGGAUUGUCGGUUGAGUAAGUUGUGUUUCCAGGAUGUUCAGGGUCAGGGUGACCUGAGUCUAUUAUCCGCAAGGAAUGAUGUUAGUCAGAAUGACCGGGCGGAAGACCAGCGAAGGUAGGCAGCUGGUGUUGGAAUGAUUAGUUGGGUAUUGAAAGCAUAUCGCAGGCAGUGGCCCAUAGCAAACUUCGAGGAUGAAGUUUAGUUUAAGUGGGGGAGAGUUGUAACACCCAAAGUCAGAAAGGCCAAGAAAGGAAAGGAAACCCUAAGUCUAAGGGAUGACUCAGUAAGUCCAAGGAGGAACUCGGCGAGUCCGAGCGGGAUCCGGGUCGAGGAAUAAGUGAACGACUCGGCGAGUCGGCCAAGGAGACUCGGUGAGUCUGGUCUGUACGAGGAAAUCCCUAAAUUUGGGACUUGGAGCCUAUUUAAGCGCCUCAUUCUCUUCCCUAGGGUUCCUCUACUGCCUCUCUAACCCAGAACACCAAACCCUAGCCGCCAUAUCCGUUGUUGAGCCAAUUAUUGCUUUGAAGAGUGCAUUAAAGCUUGGAGAAGGAAGAAGGGCCUUGGAGGUGCAAGAAGGAGCUAUAGAUCUGGGCUUGGGAAGAUAUUUCUGAACAUUUAAAGGUAAUAAACUAGUUCUUGGAAUCCUUUGCACCAAGAUCUAUGUUGAGUUUUGGGGCUUUUGGCCAUGAUUGGUAUCCAUUUGAGUUAGAAGCCAGAUCUAAAGUUGGAACUUCGGAUCUAAGCAUAUUUUGGCCUUGUGAAGCAUAAAGUAUCAGCCCUUGAGUUGAUUAUGGAGCCUCUUUGCAUUAAACCCUAUUUUAUGGUGUGUUUAGCCUAGAUCUCCUUCUCUACACGUAAAGUUUGCAACUUUACGUGAGGAAUAGGCUUGGGAAGGGUAGAUCUACAGUUUGGGGUCCAUGCAUGACUCAAAAGUCCUCUACAUGUAUGUAGAUCUGAAUGGACUCGACGAUUCCUUUGAGUGGACUCGGCGAGUAGCAUGAAGAUUAGGAGGAAUUUGACGAGUGGGAUAAACAGCUCGUCGAGUCAGAUGAAGUUGGGCAGGAACUCGGCGAGUUGGAAGAACAACUCGGCGAGUCAGUUGAAGAUUGCCUUGGACUUGGCGAGUCUGUUCUUGGACUCGGCGAUUCAGGUCACGAAACCCCAAACCCUUCGAGUUGAGACUCGAAUCAGUGAGUCGAGUGGAGACUCGGUGAGUUGGACAGGUCAGGACUCGGAAAUCGGUAGACUCGGCGAGUCGAGUCGCGAUUGGAAGGACUUUGAGCAUAUGAACUCGGCGAGUCAAUAGGUAGACUCGGCGAGUAGGGUUGACCUAGAAGAUUGACUUUGACCAGGACUUUGACUUUGACCAGAGUUGACUUAGUUGACUGUUGGGGGUCAGUUAGUCUAAGUGUUUCAUUGAUAUUGGUAGCUCGGGGAGCUAGUGGAGCAGGAGUUCAGAGAGUUUCUGGGCAGCAUCCAGAAGGUUAUCAGCAUGUUCAGCAAGUGCAUGUGAGUUUCCCUUUGUGCCAAUGGGUCUACGGUCACAAUGUCGGCCCAUGUAGUUAUGAGUAGNGGAAGGUUGACUUUGACCAGGACUUUGACUUUGACCAGAGUUGACUUAGUUGACUGUUGGGGGUCAGUUAGUCUAAGUGUUUCAUUGAUAUUGGUAGCUCGGGGAGCUAGUGGAGCAGGAGUUCAGAGAGUUUCUGGGCAGCAUCCAGAAGGUUAUCAGCAUGUUCAGCAAGUGCAUGUGAGUUUCCCUUUGUGCCAAUGGGUCUACGGUCACAAUGUCGGCCCAUGUAGUUAUGAGUAGAAGACCCGGGGGUUAGCCCUAGGCACAGUAUGCUAGUAUGAUAUUCGGGACGAGGUCCAAUGAUAGAGGGCGGGUGCCCAAGGAAUGGUUUAUGUGAUAGUUUAUACUUGUUGUCUGUGUGAUACUUGUAUGUGCCUGGUAGGGAGGUGAGUGUGGGCGAGGUCCCGUAUCUCACCAAUAGCAGAGUGUGGAUGGUGUUCCACAUCUCAGUAGCAGCAGAUCAGGGGCGAGGCCCAAGUUAGGGAAGGAGUGAGGGUGGGCUGGGCCCGUACCUCACUAUCAGCAGGAGUAUGGACGGGGUUCCAUGACUCAUCAGUAGCAGGACAAGGGCGGGGCCCAGAGAUAGGCGAGGCCUUAGGACAAGAUCCGUUAGUAUGUGUUUAGCUUAGGUUAUGUGAUGUGAUAUGUUUAUGUGCUAUUAUAUGUUAGUGGGCGAGGCCCUGUGACAGGCGAGGCCUAAGUGAAACAGAUCUGUAUCCGAGCGGGGCUCGAAGCCAGGCGGGGCCUGGAACGGUGAGGCCGUUAUAGCGGGCGAGGCCCGAGGUAGGGGCGAGGCCCAGGUUAGCGGGCGUGGCCCAGUAUGUGCAGUAUAUGGUUAUGCAUGGUAUGUGGUAGGGUGGGGAACUCACUAAGCUUCGUGCUUACGGUUUUCAGUUUUGGUUUCAGGUACUUCCGGUAGCGGAGGGAAGAGCUCGGGGGUGAUCGCAUGACACACACCAUAGAUUAGACAACCUGGGAAUGUUUUACUCUGAUAAUGAACAUGUGUUUUGGAAAAUUAAUACUCUGAUUAUGUUUUGAAUUGGUGACCUUGCUUAAAGAAAUGUUUUAUUAAAAGAAAUUUUUAGUCAUGAAUUUUGGGACGUUACAAAGUACAUUAAUCCUUGGUACAAAUAUUACAUCAACAAAAGUUAUCUCUAAGCUUUCAUGAAAUUGAAGACCUUAUGCCUAACACAACCAUUGUAUCUAGAUAAGAUUUUCCUACUUAUUUACUUUGUUGUGUGCAAAUAUUAAUACACUUGACUUAAGCAUCACCAACAUUUGGACAUAAUUGUUGACGUUGAGGUGGUUGGUUAGAGCAUUAGUCAACUUUAAUAUUCAAGUGAAGACGUAUCAAAUACAAGUGAUUGUAGUUCACUCCUAUAGCAACAAGAGGAGCAGAGGCUUUAAGUAGUUUAUCCAUUUCAACAUGAAACUCUUUUCACACAUGAACGAUCUUAUGACACCUGUCAAAUGCCUCUUAAAAUAUACAAUCAACACUUGGUCAGUAGCUUUCUUCUCUGUGGCCAGAACCAUGACCUCUUCAUUUCCCUAUAUUAAUGAUGACAGGUUCAUAAACUAAAAGGACUGUAAAGUCAAAAUAGUUGACAUUAUGUUGACAUACCUAGUGGUGUGAAGAGAAGAAUAAAUAGAAUGUUUGUAAUAAACCCGCUUUCUUGGGUGAGGAAACCAUGACACUUGUUCAGAAAUGAAACAUCCCAACUAGCACCUAACGACUUUUGCUACAUUGAGAUAUACUAGCAAACAACAUAAGCAAAUCACAUGGAAAAUUAUUACAAUUAAUAAAACUCAUAAAUAAAGUGGUAAAAACAGCCUUGCACACACUCUUGAUUAAAAAAAUAGUUUAUAUUAGUGUAACAUCCCGAUUUCUCGAUAUCAGUUUAAAGUUCUAGAGUCAUGUUUCAAAGACAACUCGACGAGUUGAUAGGCCAACUCGUUGAGUAGUGACCAAAUCAGCCAUGUGGAUUUUAGACCCUACUCGUCGAGUUGGAGGACCCGACUCGACGAGUAGGUGCUGGAAAGUGAAAACCAUAAUUUUUAGGGUUUGCACCCUAUUUAAAGGUCCUUAACUUUCCUCCUCAGCCUCCCUUGUCACCUUCACGUCCAAAAAAACCAACUAGUCUCUAUUCUUGAGUGUGUGAGACCAAAAGAGAGUGUAUUGGAGCAUUCUUAAGGAGUUAAGAGCUUUGAACAAGGGAUAGCUUGUAGAUCCAACUUUUCCAGUGUUGUGACAACAAUAUUGAGUUAUAAAGCUACCACCUUUAUAUUUCAUUGCUUAGAUCUUCCUUUUUGGUAAAGUAAUUGUCAUGUCUAGGGCAUGAUGGGGUCACACUCGGAUUUAAGCUUGCCACAAGGGCAUAGUUUUAGAACUUGACUUCUUAAGGCCUUAUGAACAUAAAUCCUUAAGCUUUAUGAAGCCCUAGCCCUCCUUCAUGUCCAAAACCUUCUCCUAAUGCUAAUUAUGAGUGUUUUAGCUUCAUAGAACCAUGCAUGCAUGUAAAGUUAGCAACUUUAUGUGAUAACAACACCCUAGGAGCAUAGAUCUACUGUUUGGAGCUUUGGAGCAGCUUAAAAUAGUCUGAAUGAGUGAUGGACUGAAGGAGACUCGACGAGUUUCAUGGUUGAAUCGAAGAGUCGGUUGAAGAUUGCCCAUAAUGGUUUUGCAUGGACUCGGCAAGUCAGUAAGAAGACUCGACGAGUCAGUUAGGGUUCUUCCUGACAUUUAGACACGCGUAGACUCGCCGAGUUGGUGGGGAAACUCUGCGAGUUGGCCCAGGGAUUUCACGGUUUUCUGAGUUUUGGAGGAACUCGAUAGGUCAGUAGUUGGACUCGACGAGUUGGGUCAACAUGGACUGUUGACCUUGACUGUUGACUUGGAGUUUGACCAGGGUUAACCAUGUUUGACUUUGGAGGGUAUUUGGUAAAUGGGUAUUUAAGGAAAUGGAUCAUGGGUGGAUAUAGGUAAUGGAGUUUGGGGCAGUAUUUUGAGAGCGUGAUUUCGUGGUUUAGUUCGGCAUUGCAAGGUGAGUUAUCCUCACUAUAUCAACAGGGUCUAAGGCACCAAGGUCAGCCCUUUAUCUGAUUUGUAUUCGGGUAUUUGCUUGAUAUGUUUUUUGAUCUGCUAGAUCUGCAUCCUGGUAGUUAGGAUGGUAUUAUGUUUAGUGACCUGGUUUAGGUCAGUAUCCUGGUAUAUGGGAUGAUGUUAUGUUAGUGACCGGUUAGGUCGGUAUCCUGGUUAUAGGACGGUUGUUGUGUUAGUAAUCAGUUAGUUUGGUAUGAUUAUCUGUUGUAUACAUGCUCGCGUAUAAUAUUUAUGUGCACAUGAUUGUUUGAUUGUUAUGGGGGUUGGGUUGAGGCGGGUCCUGCUUCGUGUUGUAGGCCAACAUACCCAUGGCGGACCGGAAAGACUACAGGCCCAGGAAGGCACAUUGUCCAACCAAUGGCCCAACGAGCGGUCCGGAUAGGCUGAAGGCCCCGAGAGGGUGGUCCAAACGUGCCGAGGCUCGGAGAGUGGGCCAGGUGGACUGAAGGCCCGGUGCGGGCGGUCCAGUCAUACUGUAGACUCAAAGAGUGGACCAGGUGGACUGAAGACCCAGUGCGGGUGGACCAGUCACACAGUAGACUCGGGAUGCAUGGCUGUUCAGUGUUUGUUAUAUGAUAUGAUUAUGGAUUGUAUGAGGUUGGUAUUUUGGGGGUAACUCACUAAGCCUUCGAGCUUACGUUUAUCAAUUUAUGUUUCAGGUACAACGAAUUAACCCAGGAAGACGAAUGUGUGAUCGUACACUUCCCCAUAAUAUGUUUUGGAUUUUCUGGGAUACUCUGAUGUGAAACUAUUUUGGAAACCUUUUUGUAAUAACUAUUGGCAUUUGAAAUGUUUUUAAAAGUUUAAAUUUGGCUUGGAUUUUAUGGGUGUUACAAUUAUUUCAAUUAUCCAAGACGAUUUUAUGUCGAGAUUUUAAGUUAACAUUAAAUCUCAAUUAUUUGUUUGAAUGAUUUUUUUCUUUUAUCUUAGAGAUUUGUUUGAAAUUUAUUAAUUUUUUUUAUAAAUUUGAAUUAAUCAAAGACACAUAUAAAAAUAUCUCAUCAAAUCAAAUAAAUUUAAUAUAUAAAAAAGAUAGUAUCCGAUUAAGUCAAUCUAAAAAUACCAACAUAUAAAUAUAACUCACAAAUCUUGAUGGGAAUAAGAAUCAAACUCAAAAUCAAUCAAAUAAAAAAACCUUUGAUUUGUGUUAUAAGUAUAAAAUAAAUCAGGAUUCCAAAUAAAUAUUACAAUGAAAAAAAACCUAAAAUGUUUGAAACAAAAUAUGAAAUUCGCCAUCACUGUCAAUUUAAAAAAAAAACCUUUAUUAAUACUAAUGGGCUAUUUGGUAGCAUCCUGAUGAAUCAUAUCUGAAUGAUCUAGAUGCCUGGAUGAUCUAGAUGCUCUUUAGGAAUUUCUAUCGGAAUGAUAAAAUAAUGUUUGGUUAGGCAUCUAAAUAUCUGCCUCUUAAUGAGGAAAAUAACCAUUUUAGCCCUCUAAAUUAUUUUUUGAAUACAAAAUAAACAUUAUACAAUAUCCAACAAAUCGGUUAAAACAAAUUGGCUUUUGAUAUUCAGAUUCAUGUGUUUCUUCAUCAACAAUCUCUUUGAAGAGGACUCGUUUUGUUUCUGUUUUUAGAUCAUUAGGCUUUCUUGCUUCUGGAACAUUGAUGGGCCUAUUUUCUUGCUGAAUAUCUUCCAUCACUAGCAACUUCAUCUUGCUCCUAGAUCACAUAUCAACUAAACAAGUUGAAAAAUAACCAAACACAUAUUUUCAUAUAGAACAUUUCAAGCAAACACAAACACAUUUUCAAAAAAAAAAAAACAAAUCAAUUGUUAUUUUCAGAUUUCCAAAGGACAAAAACAACAUCAACUGAACACAUAUAUAGAGCAAGAAGAACAAAGCACAAAAAUCGAUUUCAUACAAAAUCGAGCAGCAAGAACACGAUUGACACCAAUUUCAUGCAAAAUUGCUCAACAAUAACACGAUUGAAGCAACAGAUUCGAGAAAAAAAACCAUACCUGAAAACUUACCGACGACGAGUAGGCGGAGAAGUAGGAGCGUUGUCGAAGGCAUGCAAGGGGAGGCGGCGACGGAGCCAAUAAUUGGAAGUUGUCAACGCUUAAUGAAGAUAAAGAAUGAGGGAUGAAAGGUCGAUCUCUAGAAAGAAGGAGAAGAAAAAAGAGUCGGCCGCAAUUUGUUGUUAGGGCAAUGGUAGAAGAUGAAAAUUUUUUUAUUCAGACUUCUCCUCAUAUCUUAACGAAUCAGAUUAGUUUUAGCUACAUCUGACCGAUUAAGAGCGUAAAAAUGUUUCAACCAAACACUCUGAAUCUUAAUGAUCCAAAUGCAACCUCUUAAUGAGACCAUUAAGAGGCAAAACAAACAGCCCCUAAAUAAAAAAAACAAUAUAGUUUCCAUAAAAAUCGAUUUAAAUAUUAAAGAAGAGAAGAAAUCAGCAUUUAUACGACGUAAUAGUUUUUUAAAAUUAAAAAAAAAAAAUUAUUCAUAUUAUAAGUAUAAAAUACAUUUUAUUCUUAACUCUCAUUUGUAAUUUGCCAUAUGUUUUCAUAAGAGUUUAUGGUAAUAACUUAAAUUUUUAUUUUUCCAUAUACCAUUUUUCAUUUACAAAAUUGUUUGUGCUUAUUUUUUUUUGUUAUAUUAAAAUUUAUUAUAUUUUAUUAUAUAAUAUAUAUCAUAAUUUUUUUCAUUAAUUUACAUAUAUCUUAUUUUUACGUGUUUAUUUGAAACAAUCGUUAUAAUGCAAAAUAAAUACCACUUCUCCAUAUUAAUUAUUAAUUUUUAUUAAAAUACUUUAUUAAUUAUUAUAAUUUUUAUCUAUUGAUAUUCGUUUAAUUUUGUAAGUUUUAUUUUCACAAAGUAUAACCUAAUUAAUUUCUCAUCAUCUAUAGUAAAUGAAAGUUUUUUUUUUCACAUGCAAUCACUAAUUAAUUUUGACACUUGUCAUUUUAUAAUAUUUUUUAAAUAAAUAAUAUCCACAUAUCAAUUUAUGAUUUUUNNNNNNNNNNNNNNNNNNNNNNNNNNNNNNNNNNNNNNNNNNNNNNNNNNNNNNNNNNNNNNNNNNNNNNNNNNNNNNNNNNNNNNNNNNNNNNNNNNNNNNNNNNNNNNNNNNNNNNNNNNNNNNNNNNNNNNNNNNNNNNNNNNNNNNNNNNNNNNNNNNNNNNNNNNNNNNNNNNAUCAAAUGUAAUAAAUAUUAUUUUAAAAUUUCAUUUUAAAAAAUAUUUAUUAUUACAUUUUAAUAUUUUAUAUUCUUUAAUCAACCGUGUAAUACAUUUUAAUACAUAGAUUUUCCAUCUAAUAAAUAAAUAAAAUGUAACCAUUUUAAUCACUAAAUAAUUAAUCAACCAAAGAUUAAAACCCACUGAUAAAAAGGAAACUAAAUCAACACCAAAUUGAAAAUUAAACCAUAUAUUACUAAAUUAAUUCACAGAGAGUUCGACAUCAAUCAAAUAUUAUCUCGCACUCAAAUUCACAAAACUCACUUUCCAGGUACAAAGUUUGUAGCAUAUGACCAUGCAUUGUUUGCAACAGGGUCAGCAAGGUGGUCAGCGAGGUUCUCCAAUGGUCCCUUUCCGGUAACAAUGGCUUGAACAAAGAAUCCAAACAUAGAGAACAUGGCUAGUCUACCGUUCUUGAGCUCCUUCACUUUCAGCUCAGCAAAUGCCUCUGGGUCAUCAGCCAGACCCAAUGGGUCGAAGCUACCACCAGGGUAAAGUGGGUCAACUACCUCACCAAGAGGUCCACCAGCAAUUCUGUAACCUUCAACUGCACCCAUCAAGAUCACUUGGGUAGCCCAGAUGGCUAAAAUGCUUUGUGCAUGGAUCAAACUUGGGUUCCCCAAGUAGUCAAGACCACCCUCACUAAAGAUCUGGGAUCCAGCCUUGAACCAUACAGCCUCACCAAACUUGACACCAUUACGCGCCAAGAGUUCGGGGAAGACGCACCCAAGAGCUCCGAGCAUGGCCCAUCUGCUGUGGAUGACCUCAAGCUCACGGUUCUUGGCGAAUGUUUCAGGAUCAGCAGAGAGCCCAGCAGUGUCCCAACCGUAGUCACCGGGGAACUCACCGGUCAGGUAAGAUGGGGCUUCGCCGGAGAAUGGGCCAAGGUACUUAACACGGUCGGGGCCGUACCAUGGACUUCCUGAUGGUGCGACUUUCUUGACUGCUGUCUUCCUCAUGGAAACCCUUCCAUUUCCGAUUAUUUCUGAACCAGAUGGUGCUGCUUUCACUGCCUGUCCGACGAAAGAAGAAGAUAGAGCCAUG
rnacentral:lncRNA from 1 species